rnacentral:lncRNA from 1 species
UCGGUCUUUGUAGCUUGGGUGGUCUCCAGCUUUUCUUCUGUGUACAUGCGUUUAUGCAUAUCGAUAGCUCUGUGCUUCAGAUGCAUCCUCCACCUCCAGGGUUAAACCAGCUUGUUGUACGAGACACCGCAGAUGGGAAAUUCAAGGAUGAAUUUCUGUGGUCUUGUAUUCCUAAGUUGAUUGUCGAAAAACCCGAAAUACCAAUGUGUUGAUAUAUAUGUGGAUUUUGGAAAAAAAUCUCUAUAUUUUAGCUGUCGCUGAAUUUUACUGUCAGUAGCGACCGAACUGAAAAUAGUUUUGUGGCAAACUGAAGUGCGUAUGGAAUGAAUAUGGAUCAAGCUUAUCUGUAUGCUAAAGGACACACCGGAUCACUGAGAAACUGAGAUGAGAUAACAGUUAUCACGCCGAAGUUAAAAAUUAGUCAGAAAACUCUUCGAUUACAUCAACUAUGUAUGCGUAUCAUUUUGCAAAAUGGUCAUUUUACUAAGUUCUGAAACCAGGGAAAUAUGACUUCUGUCUCCGCGGGAUUGAGAUGAGAUAUGUACAACGAGAUUUUUCCUUUUUUCUGUAAGACAGAGAAAGUCGCUUUAAACACGACGAAAAAUACAUUUUUUUUGAGACGACGAAAAAUACAUUUAUUUUUUCUGGGUCAGAUUCGGCCCAAACCAAGUCUCUGGGCUAGAAUGCAAAAUGCUUGUGCUGUGAACAUUUCGGUGGCAACCCACGAAGACCCAGUAAUCCCACGCCCAACCACUUUCUUUGAAACUACUGUAGCACAUUCCCUCACCGACGUGUGGGUCCUCCGCAAGCUAAGCUACGGGCACCCAGCGCUUCUCCCCCACUUGGCAGGCUCCCUCCACGCCACUUCUCUAUUUCUCCCCCCAUCUCUUCCUCCUCCCCGAUCCACCCGACCGCAACAAACCCUAGCACCGCCAGAUCUCCACCUCCGCCGCCGCCGGAGAGGCCACCCAACAGAUCUCCCCGAUGGCGUUCCGCCGACUCCUCUCGGCCGCAGUGCGCCGCCGCUCCGCCGCGGCGGCCGCGGCGGUCGGGAACGCGCGCGAGGCCUCCACGGCCGUCGCCGCGGGCCUCGGCGCCAUCGCCCCCGACGCGCCCGCCGUCCGCGCCCCGGUGAUGGCGUACGACCGGAUCGCCGACGCCGUCAACGCGCGCGUCCGCCGCCUCGAGCACCCGGACCCCCGCUUCCUCCGCUACGCCAGCCCCGUGCCCGUGCACGUCGACCACACCGCCAUCCUCGAGGCGCCGGAGACCAGGGUCACCACGCUCGACAACGGCCUGCGCGUCGCCACCGAGUCCUCGCUCUCCUCGCGCACGGCCACCGUCGGCGUCUGGAUCGACGCCGGGAGCAGGUACGAGACGGAGGAGGCGGCCGGGGUCGCCCAUUUCGUGGAGCACAUGCUGUUCAAGGGCACGGGGACGCGCAGCGCCGGGCAGCUCGAGCAGGAGAUCGAGGACAUGGGCGGCCACCUCAACGCCUACACCUCGCGGGAGCAGACCACCUACUACGCCAAGGUGCUCGACAAGGACGUGCCACGUGCGAUGAGUGUUCUCGCCGACAUUUUGCAGGACUCUAAGCUUGAAGACAACCGCAUUGAACGCGAGCGCGGUGUGAUUCUCCGAGAGAUGGAGGAGGUUAGUUUCCUGAUGCGUAUAUGUUUGCUUGAGUUUAUCACUCCUUUCCACUGCAAUAAGGAUCUGUUUAGGUGAUUUUACGUACAAUUUCUUAUGCUGCCUUAGAUUGAUUGCAUCAUGCCUUCUCUAGUGUUUCAUUAAUAUGUAUUUCUUGUUUAUUCUGUUGUUUUUAACCAAUCCAUAUAGAGCUCUGAGAUAGAAAGAACUAAUUUACGGAGACUUGAUUUCUUAGUAUUAGGAAUUGUUAUGAACUGCUAUAUGUAAGAAGACAGAUGUAAAAUGGGAUUUGCUAUCAAACUGUUUGGAACCAAUACAGAUAUCAAUUUAAGAAAAAAGAACAUGUAUCGGGUGCUUGUGUUUUCUCGAACUUACAUUCGCCAAAUAGGUCCUUGCAGAAAAUAAGAACUGAUCAAAGGCCUAAUUUCUUAGUACGAGGCGUUCUAGUUGUAUCAAGCUGCCGCAGACUUAGAUCAUAGAUGGGAAUGCAAAAUUGGCAUUUGAUAUCAAACUGUCCCAAAUCAAACUGGUUAACAGUUCGGAGCAAAAAUGAAUAAAAAAUGAAUAUUGUAUGCCCGUGAAAAAAAUCUUUUGAAUUUGCUGAGAAUAUUAUUCAAGUAGAGUAGAAUGUUGCACGGCCAUAAUGAGUUUAAAUGGACCAACCUGCAAGGUUCAUCAUGCAUCCAACAGCUAAACGCUCUUAUAUUUCUUUACAGAGGGAGUACCUAAUAUGGAUGCAAAUAACUUAACUCAAUCCUUGGGUUUUAUGAGCAUACAAGUUUCAUGUUCUGCUCUAUUAUUUACAGACUUCAUUUUUGGUUCAGUAAGUUGUUGUUAGUCGCGUCAGGCUGCAACCCGGACGUGCAACAUUUCUGAGAUGCUACUAAUAUUUAUGUCUUGCUGUGCUUUCUUGAGCCCACAUUUUUUUCUGACUCUCCUAUGUUAUGUAGGUUCAGGGACAGUCGGAGGAAGUUAUAUUUGAUCAUCUCCAUGCAACUGCAUUCCAGUAUACUUCUCUUGGCAGGCCAAUCUUGGGUUCUGCUGAUAACGUCAAGUCUAUCACCAAAAAGAAUCUCAUAGACUACAUUCAAAAGCAUUACACGGCUUCUAGAAUGGUACUUGAGAUUAAAAAUAUGUGUCUAAUACAUUUGGAUACUAUCAUUUUGUCGUAUUGCUAUUACCUCAACAGGGUGGAGUAUCUCCUAGUCGUAAAUAACAUGUGUUUUGUGUGUUUUCAGGUCAUUACUGCUGCUGGUGCUGUUAAGCAUGAUGAUAUUGUACAGCAGGCAAAAGAGCUGUUCAAAUCGCUGCCAACUGACCCUACAACAACUAACAUGUUGGUUGCUGAACAGCCAGCCAUUUUUACUGGUUCUGAGGUAUGUAUUUUACUGUAAGUUUACCUGUGCUGUUCAAAUCAUUGAUUAUUUUAUGCUACUCAAUAGGUACGAAUCAUUGAUGAUGACAUGCCCCUGGCCCAAUUUGCUGUUGCCUUCAAUGGAGCAUCCUGGACAGAUCCUGAUUCUAUUGCAUUAAUGGUUAUGCAAACUAUGCUUGGUUCGUGGAACAAGAGUGCUGGAGGAGGGAAGCACAUGGGGUGGGUUCCUUCCCUAUUAUACACCCUUUCAUCUUGUUGUCAUUUCCUUGUGUAUAACCAAGUCCCUUCGUCGAAGUGACUUGAAAACAAUCCACUGAUCAUAGUUCACUUUGUUGUCCUUAUUUUUUGAUAUAGUUCGGAGCUUGUACAGAGAGUAGCAAUCAAUGAAAUAGCUGAGAGUAUAAUGGCAUUCAAUACAAACUACAAGGACACUGGCCUGUUUGGUGUCUAUGCUGUCGCUAAGGUCAGUCGUAUUUUUUUUUUCUUUUGUAUCAAAGGUUGAAGAAAGUACUUCUUUCUGUAUGUUAUGUAGGCUGAUUGCUUGGAUGUAGGCUGAUUGCUUGGAUGUGUAUCAGCCAUUAUGUGUGAACAUGUUCUGGUGGUAUAAAAUGGUGUGUUGUUCAUGUAUUUUGCCUGAUGAUGUUCCUUGGCCUUGUUUUGUAGGCUGAUUGCUUGGAUGAUUUGGCUUUUGCAAUUAUGCAAGAGAUGAGCAAAUUAUCAUACAGGGUUACCGAAGAGGAUGUUAUUCGUGCACGCAAUCAGGUAUUUCUUUCAAUGAGGGUGGUAUUUCUUUCAAUGCCAGUUCAAUGUGUAGUGGUGUUUCCUAUGGAUUAUUGACGCUGAAUAGUAUGAAGCAUAUUUUUUCUUGUGUACUUGUUAGGAAUCAUGGUUCUGAUAUUCUGUUGCUCGAUAAUUGUUGGCUUUUGCACUGGAACAUAUGUAUCUGCCAUUGAACUUCUGUCUAUCUUUCUGACAUUGUCAUUGCUUUGACUUGAUACUUUCAGCUGAAAUCCUCCAUCCAACUCCACCUUGAUGGCUCCACUGCUGUUGUUGAGGAUAUUGGACGCCAGGUAUAUGGACGCUAUUAUGUAAUGUCACAUGAUAUUCCAAUACGCAUCCUCUGGAACUUAUCUUUCUUCUUCUGUGUUGUCAGCAACUCAUCUAUGGCCGUAGAAUUCCUAUUCCUGAGCUUUUUGCGAGAAUAGAUGCAGUUGAUCCGAGCACUAUCAGGCGUGUUGCAAACCGCUUCAUCUUUGACCAGGUAAUUAUUGUUUUGCCAACUUGCCUUGUUCUAUGUAGAAUUUUGGAUAUCCCAUGGCGUCGGGUAAUGCCAGAAAGUGUGGUCGAAAACUAAAAGUUGCUAAAGUUUUGGUCACUUGCUCAUAGAUUACAUCCCGCUUAUGAGGUGCCUGCCAAUUGCUACUGAUAGACCUCUAAUGAUAAGAGUAUUGUUUCCUUUUAUUGGAAUAUGAAUAAGAAGGUCCACUGAUAUCUGGGUGAUAUGCUUUUGUUUUGUUGUGAAUAAUGUAGCUUGCUGUAUUAACUUAUGAAGUUUUAGUGUGCAUUUACCUUUUAGUUGUGGCAUUGGUAUCUCGAGGAAAAUUUAGUUGGAACAGUAGCCUAACUUGAUAUUAUGAUAAGACUGCAUUCUGUAUAUAUUUUUUGUUGCCUGAAUAGAUGAGCCAUAUGGGAAAUAUUACUGUUAUACUGUAUGAUACAUAAUUACUCCCUCCGUUCCUAAAUAAUUGUCUUUCUAGCUAUCUCAAAUGAACUACAACAUACGGAUGUAUGUAGACAUGUUUUAGAGUGUAGAUUCACUCAUUUUGCUCCGUAUGUAGUCAUUUGUUGAAAUCUCUAGAAAGACAAUUAUUUAGGAACGGAGGGAGUAUUAAGCUUGCAUGAAGUUCAAAAGUCUUGGAGAUACAUAUAUAUUCACUGUCUGAAUGCCGUUUUUUCUUUCAGGAUAUUGCCAUCGCUGCCAUGGGACCAAUUAAGUCUCUUCCAGACUACAACUGGUUCAGACGCAGGACCUACAUGCUCCGUUACUAGAUGAUUCGACCAGCGGUGUACCAUGUUUACAGUCUGCAAAGGCAAGAUGAUUGCUUGUUUUGGCAUCAGUAUAUUAAGGCCACAUCCACGCACAUAUUAUGUGCCGAAGUGGAGGAAUUUUUUGAGUCUUCGUUUUCCUUGCCCUUCUCUUCCUUUUGCAAACCCACAAAGCUGUCAAUAAUGGUAGGCAAAUUCGACUGACGUGGCUUACUUGGGUGGCCGUCCGUUGUUUUACGAUGAUGAUGAAUCGUCAUGAUACUUUUCCAUCUUGUGUUCCGAUAUUGUUGUCUUUCGGCCAAUAAUUUUAAUGAAGCUGCUUAUGUAAAGUAAGAUGGUGGCUGUUAGCUUCGAUAUGAUCUUUUGGGAAUUUUGCAUCGUUGUAAUUGUUGUGAUGAGUUGUCUCUGUUUGCGUUGCACAUUUCGUCAUCACGUGUUAACUGGGGACAAAUGGCCGAUCAUACGAGGGAACCACCUUGUGUUGUGCGUUGUUUGUAUUGCUCGAUCCUGACCGAGUAGGCUAUUUUGCAGUCCGCCUUGAUGUUGUCAGCUGUUGCUUCGUGGCGUGCGGGACCAUAACAUGCUUUGUCUAUCGCUUAGAGGCGUGUGGUUGGCUGUAUCAUCCUAUUGGGUGCAAGAAACUCGUUUCGUAUCGUAUGCGGAGGCCUGACUUGUGUGCGCAUGAACCUUAAUGCGGAGGCCUGGCGUAGUUGAGCGUAAAAGUGGGCACGACGCAGGAAGGACUGAGCGUGGAGAUGGCUGGACACUGAACUCUAGCAUCACCCCCUCCCUCAUUUAUUCGCCCACCACUAUGCUACGACAAACUCAACACCACUUCUCAGCAUCAGGGGCGGCGACUUAGAUCUGCAGAAGCAGCGGCACCGAUAACUUCCUCCAUGGGCACGAUGUAAGCGGCGGUGCAGAAAGGAAUGAGCGCGGAGAUGGCGGGACACUCAACUCCGGCAUCACCCCCUUCUUAUUUACUCGCCCACCUCUAUGCUCUUCCCUAUAUGAAGCCAUUUGCCCUAGAAAAAAUAAAAAGAAAACUUUCAGGACCUUUUGCCACCGUCUCGAGGCGGAAACACCGGCGGAGCACUUUUGCUCUCCGGCAGAGCAAUUCUGCCGCAGAAACUUUCCUCUGGGAGGGGAAAAUCGAAGCCAUCAUCAUCACCAAUGCUCCUCUCAUCGUGGGAGGCAUCAUCUUCAUCAACAUCUUCACUAGCACCAACUCAUCUAUAAACCCUAGUUCAUCUCUUGUGUUCAACCUUUGUAUCAAACCUCAGAUUGGUACCUCGGGCUGCUAGCAGUGUUGAUUACAUCUUGUAGUUGACGCUAGUUGGUUUACUUGGUAGAAGAUCAUUAUGUUCAGAUUGUUGAUUGCAUAUUUAUACCCACCGAACAUGUUCAAUAUGAUGAAUUGUGAGUAGUUCUAUUUGUUCUUGAGGACAUGAGAGAAGUCUUGUUAUUAGUAAUCAUGUGAAGUUGAUCAGGGUCCAAAAAAACUAUGUGAAGUUGAUCAUCGUUCAACGUUUCGAUAUUAUAUUGUGUUGUUCUUCCUCUAGUGGUGUUAUGUGAAUGUCGAUUACAUGACACUUCAACAUCUUUGUGCCUAGGGGAAAGCAUUAUGGAAUUAGUUUGUAGAUGAUAGGUUGCGGGAGUGACAGAAGCCUAAAUCCGAGUUUACAAAUUGUUCCAUGAGGGGUUGUUUUGGAUCUACAUGUUUAAUGCUAUGAUUAGAUUUAUCUUAAUUACUUCUCUUGUAUUUGUGAUGCUUGCAUGAAAGGUGUAAUCAUAAGUAGGUGUUUGUUCAAGUAAGAACAUUACCUUAGCUUUGGUCCACCCACGUAACACUUAUCAAGGCAAUGAACGCGAAGUCGAUGAAUCCUGGUAAAAGUAACACGACGAUAUUCCCGUGUGUCCUCAAGAGCGUUUUAAUCACUAUAAGAAGUAUCACCAGCUUGUCCUUAGAAUAAUUAAGGAUUGGGGCACUUGAUGCAACUUUCUACUUUUGUUACUUGUUACUUGUUAUCAAUUAUCCUGCUAGCGAACUAUCUAUCAAAACUAUCUUACAGCACCUGCAGAGAAAACCUUGCUGAAAACCGCCUAUCAAUUCCUUCUGCUCCUCGUUGGGUUCGACACUCUUACUUAUGGAAAGUACUAUGAUUGAUCCCCUAUACUUGUGGGCCAUCCUCCUGCUAAGGGCGUAGGCUUCAGGGGCGCAAUAUAUGCCAUUGCUGAUGCUUCCAAGACGGUGCCAUUCUCAAGUCCAGCCGAGUCCUUCCGUCAUCUUUGCUCCGAACAUCGGGGGAAACCCUAGGUCCCACUGCUAUGCUAGAGAGUGGCGAUGCCGUGUCAUCGUCUUCUCGUUGGAUGUGUUGCCUAGGUUGCUUGUGGAGUCCCAUAGAUGUGAGUUAGAAAUGGUGUUGGCUGCCUACUAAGGUUUAACGCCCAGGAUGCGGCUAUAUCUCCCACGUGUCGGGGCAUGACUUAGAGGCAUAACCGCAUUUUGGUAUUGUCGCAAGAAGGGUCAUCUUCACACAAUCCCAUGUACAAGAACAAGGAAAAUAAAUAGUUGGCUUACAAUCGCCACGUCACACAAUGAUCAAAUUAUUCAUACAUCAUUCAGAGUAUACACAAAGUCCGACUACAGACGAAUCCAAAUGAAAAGAAGAUAACCCCAAAUGCUAAAUCCCGAUCGUCCCAACUGGGCACCACUACUGAUCAUCCGGAAAGGAAACAUAGUAACGACCAAGGUCUUCGUUGAACUCCCACUUGAGUUCGGUGGCAUCACCUGCACUGGUAUCAUCGGCACCUGCAACUGUUUUGGUAGUAUCUGUGAGUCACGAGGACUCAGCAAUCUCAAAACCCGCGAGAUCAAGACUAUUUAAGCUUAUAGGUAGGAUGUGGUUAUGAGGUGGAGUUGCAGCAAGCGCUAAGCAAAUAUGGUGGCUAACAUACAAGUACAACAUUGAUGUCUACUACACAACCUUCUUCUUGUAGACGUUGUUGGGCCUCCAAGUGCAGAGGUUUGUAGGACAGUAGCAAAUUUCCCUCAAGUGGAUGACCUAAGGUUUAUCAAUCCGUAGGAGGCGUAGGAUGAAGAUGGUCUCUCUCAAGCAACCCUGCAACCAAAUAACAAAGAGUCUCUUGUGUCCCCAACACACCCAAUACAAUGGUAAAUUAUAUAGGUGCACUAGUUCAGCGAAGAGAUGGUGAUACAAGUGGUAUAUGGAUAGUAGAUAAAGGUAUUUGUAAUCUGAAAUAUAAAAACAGCAAGGUAACAAGUGAUAAAAGUGAGCAUAAAAGGUAUCGCAAUGAUAGGAAAUAAGGCCUAGGGUUCAUACUUUCACUACUGCAAGUCCUCUCAACAAUAAUAUCAUAAUUGGAUCACAUAACUAUCCCUCAACAUGCAACAAAGGUCACUCCAAAGUCACUAAUAGCGGAGAACAAACGAAGAGAUUAUGGUAGGGUACGAAACCACCUCAAAGUUAUUCUUUCCAAUCAAUCUGUUGGGCUAUUCCUAUAAGUGUCACAAACAGCCCUAGAGUUCGUACUAGAAUAACACCUUAAGACACAAAUCAACCAAAACCCUAAUGUCACCUAGAUACUCCAAUGUCACCUCAAGUAUCCAUGGGUAUGAUUAUACGAUAUGCAUCACACAAUCUCAGAUCCAUCUAUUCAACCAACACAUAGAACCUCAAAGAGUGCCCCAAAGUUUCUAUCGGAGAAUUACGACGAAAACGUGUGCCAACCCCUAUGCAUAGGUUCAUGGGCGGAACCCGCAAGUUGAUCACCAAAACAUACAUCAAGUGAAUCACGUGGUAUCCCAUUGUCACCACAGAUACGCACGACAAGACAUACAUCAAGUGUUCUUAAAUCUUUAAAGACUCAAUCCGAUAAGAUUACUUCAAAGGGGAAACUCAAUUCAUUACAAGAGAGAAGAGGGGGGGGAGAAACAUAAGAUCCAACUAUAAUAGCAAAGCUCGCGAUACAUCAAGAUCGUAUCACCUCAAGAACACGAGAGAGAGAGAGAGAGAGAGAGAGAGAGAGAUCAAACACAUAGCUACUGGUACAUACCCUCAGCCCCGAGGGAAAACUACUCCCUCCUCGUCAUGGAGAGCGCCGGGAUGAUGAAGAUGGCCACCGGAGAAGGAUUGCCCUCUCUGGCAGGGUGCCGGAACGGGUCUAGAUUGGUUUUCGGUGGCUACGGAGGCUUCUGGCGGCGGAACUCCCGAUCUAUUCUCUGUUCUGGAAGUUUUAGGAUACGUAGGUAUAUAUGGGUGAAAGAAGUACGUCGGUGGACCGAAGGGGGGGACCACGAGGCAGGGGGGCGCGCCCUAGGGGGUGGGCGCGCCCCCCACCCUCGUGGGCACCUCCCUUCUUUCCUGACGUGCACUCCAAGCUUUUUCGGUAGCUUUCCUUUCAAAAAUAACUUCUCCAGUUGAUUUCGUUCCGAUUCGACUCCGUUUGAUAUUCCUUUUCUUCGAAACACUGAAAUAGGCAAAAAAACAGCAAUUCUGGGCUGGGCCUCCGGUUAAUAGGUUAGUCCCAAAAAUAAUAUAAAAGUGGAUAAUAGAGCCCAAUAUUGUUCAAAACAGUAGAUAACAUAGCAUGGAGCAAUCAAAAAUUAUAGAUACGUUGGAGACGUAUCAAAGAGUAAGAUGAGAAACUACGCAACGGACGCAAAAUUAGAAGUGAUCCUGAACUAGUUACGUUCAAACAUAACCCAACUAUGUUCACUUCCCGAACCUCGUCGAAAAGAGACCAUCACGGUUACACACGCGGUUGGUGUAUUUCAAUUAAGUCAAGUGUGAAGUUCUCUAUAAUCAGAUAUUAAUAAAUUCCCAUCUACCACAUAACUGCGGGCACGGCUCUCGAAAGUUUAUACCCUGCAGGGGUGUCCCAACUUAGCCCAUCACAAGCUCUCACGAUCAACGAAGGAUAUUCCUUCUCCCGGAAUAACCCGAUCAGUCUCGGAAUCCCGGUUACAAGACAUUUCGACAAUGGUAAAACAAGACCAGCAAGACCUCCCUAAUGUGCCGACAAAUCCCGAUAGGAGCUGCACAUAUCUCGUUCUCAGGGCACACCAGAUGGGACAAGCUACGAGUAAAACCAACCCUCGAGUUUCCCCGAGGUGGCCUCGCAGGCUGCCCGGUUCGGACCAACACUUAGAGGAGCACUGACCCUAUGGGGGGGGUUGAUUAAGAAUUCCUCGGGUUAAUUACUCCCUAGGCAAAUUUUAGUUGUUAUUAGGUAAAUGGUAAAACCAAGGUUGGGCCUUGCUGGAGGAGUUUUAUUCAAAGCAAACUGUCAAGGGGGUCUGAAAGAACAUGCGGUGCCCCCAUGUUUGGUUUUGGUAAUUGAUGACAAUCUCUAUGGACUAAUGGUUGCCUUGAGUUAUAUUUGAAGGUUUUGUCCAUAGGCUUUUCUUGGAGUACAUGUGUUGGUUUCAAGGAGAGUUUGUGUCGACCAAGGUGCUAUUCAAGGAAUUACCUAAAGAUUGGUCUUGUGAGAGGUUGAUCAAGACUAAGUUAAAGAGUGAAUCAAGUUGAUCAACCCACAAAGCAUAAAAGAUGUACCGAGAGGGAUCAAGUGAUCCCAUGGUAUGGUAAGCAUUGUCAAUUACGCUUUGUGUACUAACCCAUGGUCUUCGUGAGGGUUCUUUGUGGGGUUAGGUUGCGGUGUGCAAGUUCAAGUGGAGCACCACGAAGAGAUCAAAUGCUUGAAACUUGCUGUCCUUUGUGGUGACAAUGGACCUGUGAAGAUGUGCGGAAGAGUAGCUCACCCAUAGUAGAGUAUGGGGGAGCAAUCAACUAGUCUUCAUCGAGUCAACACAAUCAAGAAAUGUUGCGGUGUGCAAGUUCAAGUGGAGCAUCACGAAGAGAUCAAAUGCUUGAAGCAUGCCAUCCUUUGUGGUGACAAUGGACUUGUGAAGAUGUGCGGAAGAAAGGCUCACCCAUAGUGGAGUAUGGGGGAGCAAUCAACUAGUCUUCAUCGAGCCAACACAAUCAAGAAAGGUGGUCCAACUUGAGGGAGUCAAGAUCGUCAUCAUCUAGCUCAAGUGGACCAUGUGCCAGGCAAAGGUUUGCCCUUGAUAGGUUUCUAUUUUACCGGUCUCAUGUUGGUAGUUGGGAGACCGGGUUAUAGGAUCGAUUGCCAUACUAUCAAGGGGGGGGGGGCUCUCGAUGAGUAGCUUGAUCGUAUCGUUCGUUGAGAGCUCAAACCAUUGCAUCCUUGCAUCAUCUUUCUUGGUUAUUGUUUGGUUCUCUUUGUGAGUCUUAGAGCUUACGGUCAUCUUGUUGAGCGGCUUGAGUUCAUCAAAAACGGAGUUCGCUUGCAUCUUCUAUGAUGUUUUCGAUGUUGGAGGUUUUGCCGGUUCUUCUCGGUUGGAGGUUUCACUCCUCUUUUUGUUAGGCAUAACUCCCCUGCCUCUUCUUACUAUAACCAUUCGCUGUUUUGAUGCUACUCAUCGUCUUGUUUCCAACAAGCUUGAGUUUGCUCAAUUCGGAGCUCAUAUGCAGAAGUUAUGGCAGUUCUUGUUUUCUUGAGUGUGGUUUUUGUCAGGGUCCCAGCGGUAGUACCGUGGUACCCACGGUAGUACCGCUGAGGGGUCUCAAGCGGCAGUACCGCUUCGCAGCGGUAGUACCGGCGGUGACUCCGCAGCAGUACUACCGCUGGCUUACCAGGUCCCUACCGCGUCGAUUCGAGGGGUCUUUUCUGUGUCGGAUUGUGCGGUACCUCGCUGCGGUAGUACCGCUCCUUAGCGGCAGUACCGCCCUUCCUCCGCGGUAGUACAGCCCGGUUCCCUCUUUUCCUUUCCCUUUCAUUCUGCGCGGCAGUACCGCCGAAGGGAGCGGUAGUACCGCUUAACCCAGCGGUAGUACCGCUGUCUCCUGCGGUACUACCGCCCUAAGGUUCAUGUUUGUUGCUCCUUUUCCGUGUUUCCUCUGCCUGAGCGGUAGUACUGCUCGUGGAGCGGUAGUACCGCUUGUGUGCGGGCUGAGCACAUAACAGUUGGAUUUUCCCCCUCCUAUAAAAGGUGUCUUCUUCCCCAAUGAACCUUAUCCUUUGAGCUCGUGUUCUUCCCCCAUUGUUGACCUUCUUUGAGCUUGCUAACUCUCAAUCCCUCCAUGGAUUUUUGCUAGUUUUUGACGGAAAAGAGAGAGGAGAUCUAGAUCCACAUUUCCACCAAUCAUUUUCUCCUCUAUGUGAGGGGAACCCCUUGGAUCUAGAUCUUGGAGUUCUUGGUGUUCUCCUUCUUAUUCUUCCUCUCAAUUUCCUCCCUAGCAUUAGUUGCUUCGGUGGGAUUUGAGAGAGAAGGACUUGGGCACUCCGUGUGCCCUUGCCGUUGCAUUUGGUGCAUCGGUUUGAGUUCUCCACGGUGAUACGUGGAAGUGAAGUUUGAGAAGCUUAUUACUCUUGGGUGUUUGGGCACUCUAGAGCUUGUUCCUCUUGGGUGCCUUGGCGCCCUAGACGGUUGGUGUUGUUCAGAGCUCAAUCAUUGUGGUCUAAAGCUCCGGGCAAACGUCGGGGUCUCCAAUUAGGUUGUGGAGAUCGCACCGAGCAAUUUGACGGGUACCGGUGACCGCCCCCAAGGGUUGCCAAAGUGUACGGGUUCGGUGACCGCCCCAAGGGUUGCCAUUUGUACGGGUUCAGUGACCGCCCUCAAGGGUCCCUUAGUGGAAUCACGGCAUCUUGCAUUGUGCGAGGGCGUGAGGAGAUUACGGUGGCCCUAGUGGCUUCUUGGGGAGCAUUGUGCCUCCACACCGCUCCAAACGGAGAUUAGCAUCCGCAAGGGUGUGAACUUCGGGAUACAUCAUCGUCUCCGUGUGCCUCGGUUAUCUCUUAUCCGAGCUCUUUGCUUAUGCACUUUACUUUGUGAUAGCCAUAUUGUUUCUUGUCAUAUUUCCUGCUAUCACAUAGUUGCUUAUCUUUCUUAGCAUAAGUUGUUGGUGCACAUAGGUGAGCCUAGUUGUUUUAGGUUUUGUGCUUGACAAAUUAACCGCUAGGUUUAUUCUGCAUUUUUUCAAGCCUAAACCGUAAUUAUUUUAAAACGCCUAUUCACCCCCCCUCUAGGCGACAUCCACGAUCUUUCAGGGUCCCAUAACCCCAACCGCAUAACGAACACAAAAUCAAGGAACAUAACACCGGUAUGACGGAAACUAGGGCGGCAAGAGUGGAACAAAACACCGAGCAAAAGGCCAAGUCUUCCACCCUUUGCCAAGUAUAUAGAUGCAUUAAUUAAAUAAUAGAUAUUAUGAUAUCCCAACAUAUCCAUGUUCCAAUAAACAUGGAACAACCUGCAAGGCACAUGCAACUAGCAACUCUAUAAGAGGGGCUGAGCAAAAGCGGUAACAUAGCCAAACAACGGUUUGCUAGGAAGGUGGGUUAGAGGCUUGACAUGGAAAUAUGGGAGGUACGAUAAAAAGUGGUAGGUAGCACGACAUAGCGAUAGAACGGACAACUAGCAAGCAAAGAUAGAAGUGAUAUCGGGGGUAAUGAUCAUCUUGCAUGCAAAGUUCUCAGGGUUGUCGAAAGCUUAUUCCUCGUAAACGUGCUCGAUAGGAUGCUCAUUCACGAACUCGUCUCCCGGCUCUACCCAAAGCAAGGGAACAACAAUCAAACACGGUGCAAUGCAAGCAACAUGAUGCAAGACAUGGCAUGGGAUGCAAGAUAUGAUGUGCAAUGCAUAUGGGUACUCCGGAAGAGGAAAUAUGAUCAUGGCAUCAACUUGGUAAACCAAGCAUGCCACUGGAUAGGUUGGGAGAUUUCGAAUGAAAUCGAUAUGAAGAUCACCGAAAACGGAUGCACGGUUUGCAAAUGACAAGCAAAACAAGAUAUGAUGCAAUCUGCUUAAAACAACAACAUGGCCACUUAGAUGCAAGGUUUAAAUAUACUACAACACUCCAACAUAAAAACAAAACACAUGGCAGCGCAGUACAGGUGAAGCUCUACAAAUUAUGAACACUGAGCUACUGCUAGAACUCACUAGAACAAGUCUAAAACAACAUGGCAAAAAUGCAAAUGACAACAGUUUAACAGACUUUGCAGAAAUUCAUUGAUCAUGACAGAACAUCAUCAGGUUGCAAUGUUUAUGCCUAUUAAACUAGAUGCUACAGGAACAUAUUACAUUACACAAGAUCAUGGCAUGAUAGUACUAAAUGCACUUAACAAAACUGCCUUACUGAACUUGUUCCAAAGACUCACAGAAAAGAUGGUAGCAUCAAUGCAAACAUGACAAAUGAUGUGAAACAUGUUUCAGACUUAGAGGAAAUCAUGGCAUGGCAUAAACAGAUUCAUGAUAGCAACUUUACAAGCUUGUGGCACUCAUCACAGUGCACUAAAUGGCAUGGAAUAAAAUCUAGCAUGAAGUAGACAUGAAAAGAAAGCUACACAUGUGCCAAAAUAGCACAUAGCAUGUUUGAAUUUAAUCACACAAAAAUGACAAAACAGUAACAUGAUGUAAAAUGACAUGGUCAUGAACUUGCUCAAAUGCAAAAACUAAUGCCACCACUGGAUUGGUGGGAUUUUUCUAGCCCCAAAACAUAUAUAAUAUGUUGGGGUCACCAUAAAAAAAUCACCACAAAUGUUAGAAACGCAAAACUGCCAGAAAUGGAAUAUGACAGAAUAGGCAUUUUCCUAAAGGGAAAUGUCCAGAAAUGGACUAGCCAGGAAAGGACAGAUGCUACAUGCCAGAAAUGGAAAUUCGCUGGGAUAAGGGAAAAAAUAAAAGGAGGAGGGCGCUGAGAGGCUGACUGGUGGGACCCUGCUGGGAUGUGAGUAUGACAGCUGGGUCCGGCCUGUCAGUGACCCAUCUAAAUGAGAAAAAGGGGGGGGGGGGGUUACCAGCGCCCGCAAGUCAGCCUGUGCAUUCGGUUUUUUUCAGUUUGAUUCGAUUCAGUUUAUACGGUUUUUAUACUUCGGUUUAUACGGUUUUAUACAUAGAUAUGGUUCGGUUUCGGUAAUAACCGUUUGCUUUCGGUUUGGUUUCGGUAAUAACCAAAAUAACCAAAGUUAACGUGAAUUUUUAAUCAACACAUGGUUUGGCCACAUGGAAAAACAAAUUUAGUACUUGUCCAAUACAACCUCGUUACCUACUUGAAGAAAUUCUGAAACAUUAGGAAUUUAUGUUCCAGUACAACAAUCUAGUAGAAGACUACAAGUACAACUACAAGCACUAAUUUAGUACAUGUCUAGUCAAACCACAUGAAGAAAUUCUGGAACAAAAACUUGUCCAAUACAAGCACAAGCAGAACUGCUCAACACAAAUUCUGGAAUAAAAACUUGUUCAGUUAGCAUGAUUCGAAUCAUCAUUCUGAACUGUGAAGUGUGUCCAUGCCUUUGAACUUUUGUUCUUUUUCUUGCUAACACGGUCAGGAGUAACAUCAGGAUUUGUUUCAGGUAAGUAAGCUUGACCAGCACCAAGGUUGGCACUUUCGAACACCUGAAAAAUUAAGUCGGGUAAUUUCCAUUUAGAUCAGUGACCAGCAGCAGAACCAACACUAGAAAUUACUGGAAACCUAAAUAGGGAACAUAUGUGAUUUGUCCAUGGUAAUCUGAAUGAAACUUUUUUUGCUAUGACAACAAUUCAUCAUGCUUUGUGGAUGCCUGAGUCCUACUCCCUCCGUUCCAAAUUACUCGUCACAGAAAUGGAUGUAUCUAGAACUAAAAUACAUCUAGAUACAUCUAUACAUGCGACAAGUAAUUCAGAACGGAGGGAGUAUUUGAUAUGGUUUGUAUGGAAUGCAAUCUAGUUCCUUUUGCUACUUGCCACUGCCUGUGAUUUGUUGAUGUUAGUCUGGCGAAUGAAUGGUAUUGUAUUAGUCUGACGAAUGUUUCACAUGUUCAGCAGUUUGAUUCUUUUGCCCUGAGUGUUUGUUUGCAACUAGCCAACUACCAAACCGGAAAGCUCCAGAUCGAACCCAAGAUGAAAGAAGGAAGUGGCGUACUGCUUACCCUUGUGCGUCGGCGGCGGCUUCUGUCUUGCUCCACGGAGGCGUGCGCCGGUGCGCUCAACGGCGCGAGGGAGGGAAGAGGGCGGAGGUCGGAGGUCAGCGACGGAGGGCGGAAGCCUGCGGGGAGCGACGGAGCAGAUGGAUGCGCGCGGAAGUCUGACCUAGAGCGCCGCCGCCAUCCUUUGUUCUCCGCCUCCCUCCGUCCACUCUGCUCUGCGUGUGCGUGCGCGAGGGUGGGUGAGGCCGUGAGGCCGUGAGGGAACGAGGGUGAGGCCGUGAGGGAACGAGGGUGAGGAAUAAAGGGAAGGGCCCGCGCGUGAGGUUGGGCUGGGCCUUUGAAAUAUCUAUGCUGCUGGGCUUCGGUUUUGUUCGGUUUAACCAAAUUAUUUCGGUUUUAAACCGAAAAGACCGAAUUUGAUAUGGUUUGCUAUUUUGCAAACUGAAACCAUAACCAGAACCUGAAAAACUGGAAUUUUGGUUCGGUUUGGUUUUUUCGGUUCGGUUUUUGGUUUUCGGUUCGGUUUUGCAUAAGGUGACCCGCGGGGGAUCGAACCCGAGUCGCCUGGGUGGUACGGCAAGGCUCGAGCCUCUGGGCUACGCGGGGGUGCUCAUUAGAGAGGGGGAGGUGUUGGUUUUUGAACCAACCCAGCCGAGCUCUGCCGGUGACGAGCGUGACGCGGCGGAGGAGGUCACCGGAGAAGGCUACGGUGGGUUUAGCGGGGUGGCUGUUUGGAAGCGCGAGUUUAUACAAGCGCUUGCGCUUGGUACGCACGACGCCCAGCGGCGACGGGAACGCUGCCGGCGACAAGGUCCAAAGAUGGCGGCGGCGAGCUCGAACACGACGAGCCGCGGGGUUAAACAAGCGGCAGUGGGCACGGAUCUAGCCUACGCGUCGAGGCGAACAAGAUGGACAAGUGCAAGCGAUCUACGCGGGACGGAGCACUCGUCUGUGACGAGGUCCGACGGCGACGCGCGCGGGUGCUCGAGGUAAACGAUGACAGAACGAUCUAGCGAAGGGGAAAAAGGGAUGGGGGGACGCGUGUGCUCACGAGGAGCUCGGAGGAGAGCUCCUGUAGGAUCGAAAGUAUGUCUAGAGGGGGGGUGAUUAGACUACUUGACCAAAUAAAAACUUAACCUUUUCCCAAUUUUAGUUCUUGGCAGAUUUUAGCUAUUGUAGGACAAGUCAAGCAAUCAUCACACCAUUCAAGCAAGCAUGCAAAGAGUAUAUUGGCAACGGAAAGUAAAGCAUGCAACUUGCAAGAAUGUAAAGGGAAGGGUUUGGAGAAUUCAAACGCAAUUGGAGACACGGAUGUUUUUCCCGUGGUUCGGAUAGGUGGUGCUAUCCUACAUCCACGUUGAUGGAGACUUCAACCCACGAAGGGUAACGGUUGCGCGAGUCCAUGAAGGGCUCCACCCACAAAGGGUAACAGUUCCCCGAGUCCACGGAGGGCUCCACCCACAAAGGGUAACAGUUCCGCGAGUCCAUGGAGGGCUCCACCCACAAAGGGUCCACGAAGAAGCAACCACCCUCAAAGGGUCCAUGAAGUAGCAACCUUGUCUAUCCCACCAUGGCCAUCGCCCACGAAGGACUUGCCUCACUAGCGGUAGAUCUUCACGAAGUAGGCGAUCUCCUUGCCCUUACAAACUCCUUGGUUCAACUCCACAAUAUUGUCGGAGGCUCCCAAGUGACACCUAGCCAAUCUAGGAGACACCACUCUCCAAGAAGUAACAAAUGGUGUGUUGAUGAUGAACUCCUUGCUCUUGUGCUUCAAAUGAUAGUCUCCCCAACACUCAACUCUCUCUUAUAGGAUUUGGAUUUUGUGGAAAGAAGAUUUGAGUGAAAAGCAACUUGGGGAAGGCUAGAGAUCAAGAUUCAUAUGGUAGGAAUGGAAUAUCUUGGUCUCAACACAUGAGUAGGUGGUUCUCUCUCAGAACAUAUGAGUUGGAAUUGUGUAUGUGUUCUGAUGGCUCUCUCCACGAAUGAAGAGGAGGUGGAGGGGUAUAUAUAGCCUCCACACAAAAUCCAACCGUUACACAUAGUUUUCCAAUCUCGGUGGGACCGAAUCAACAAACUCGGUUGGACCGAAAAGGUAAACCUAGUGACCGUUAGAGAUUUUCGGUGGGACUAACAUGCAACUCGGUAGGACCAAUAUGGUUAGGGUUUGGGCAUAACGUAAUCUCGGUGAGACCGAUUACACAAACUCGGUGCGACCGAUUUUGGUAAUUAGCUAACCAGAGAGUUGGUCAGGCAAACUCGGUGGGACCGAUUUGCUCUUUCGUUGAGACCGAAAAGUUACAAAAAGGAAACACUGAAUUUACAUUGCAAUCUCGGCGGGACUGAUCCGCUCUUUCGGUGAGACCGAAAAGUUACGAAAGGGAAACAGAGAGUUUGCAAUCCCAUCUCGGUGAGACCGAGAUCCCUAUCGGUAGAACUCGGUGGCGCCGGAUAGAAAGAAUCGGUAGUACCGAGUUUGGCUUAGGGUUUAGGUCAUAUGUGGAUAUGGGAAAGUAGUUGAGGGUUUUGGAGCAUAUCACUAAGCACAUGAAGCAAGAGGCUCAUUAAGCAACACCUCAUCCCUCCUUGAUAGUAUUGGCUUUUCCUAAAGACUCAAUGUGAUCUUGGAUCACUAAAAUAUAAAAUGAAGAGUCUUGAGCUUUUGAGCUUGAGCCAAUCCUUUGUCCUUAGCAUUUUGAGGGUUCCACUUUCACAUCCAUGCCAUGCCAAUCAUUGAGCUUUCCUGAAAUAGUCAUCUUGGAAUAGCAUUAGCUCAAUGAGCUAUAUGUUGUUAUGAAUUACCAAAACCACCUAGGGAUAGUUGCACUUUCAAUCUCUCCCUUUUUGGUAAUUGAUGACAACAUAUAGAUCAAAGCUUCGACAAAUGAUAAUAAGCAUGAAAUAUAUCGUCGCUUUGAGAAGUAUGUGACAAGUAAGAGCUCCCCCUAAAUUUGUGCAUAUUUAAAAUUUGCUUUGGACUGCAAAUGCACAAGGAGUUAGAGUCAUGGAUUAUUCUUCCAUGUCACAUACAUCUUGGUGGAGCGCUUAAAAUGAUAAGAAUGAAAUACAUCCACUCAUCACCAAGAAUAAUGAAUGAUCACAUAAGAUAGAUAAGAUAAUAGCAUUCACCAAGCAUUAAGUGUAGCUUAUGAUCAAACACAUGAUCAUCAAUGUCUCACAAGCAAUGACAUAGUAUCUCAAGCACUCAAAAGCAAACAAAGUUCGAAAAACCACCAAAUAAAACAAGAGAGAAAAAAGCAACACUCUCUCUCUCGAAGCCUAUGAUCUAUACAUUUUUCUCCCCCUUUGGCAACAAGUUACCAAAAAGUUCCUAGAAAAUGCAUAGUGCUAGAUCAACUCUCAGGCUUGAUCUUCAGGUGGUGGUGGAGUCUGGAGCACUCCAAGGACGAAGGCUUCUGUAGACGCUGAAGUAGACGCUGGAGUUGGAGCUGAAGUAGACGCUGGAGCAGGUUGGGCUGGUGCUACGGCUGGAGCUGAGGCAGUUGCUCUUGUGUCAGGAACUAGCACUGCAGACGACCUCAGACCUCGUGGCACUCUGGCAAAGGCAUCAGUGGUUGUCUUCCCUUUCCUCUCCUGCAUAUCAUCUUGGAGCUGCUCCACUGCAGUCUAAAUCUCUGUCACCUUGACAUCCAAGUCAUAGAACUUUUGUUCCAUGAUUCUCUCUAGGCUUGCCUGGUUCUGAGUUAGGGUGGCUAGUCUUUUCUCAAUCCGCAGGGUGGAUGCAAUCAGGUAACCAAGCUGCUCUUGUUUGGUUUUCAAGAAAUACUCAGAUGCCUCCUCUUGAGUUGGCAUCUUGGCAGCUUUCUCCUUCCUUGUCUUCUCCUUCUUUGCUUGUGCUUGUGCAGACGAUGGCUCAUUCUCAGUCAUAACAACUUGAUUAUCUUCAAAAUCUGGAUGGAUGGGAGGUGUUCCUUGUCCAAUAAGUAUAUGCCCGUGCCCAUUUUGGAGUUGAUGAGCUCCUGAAUCUGUGGGGCAUAUCCACAGCUCUUCUUCUGGUCUGCUACUGUCCUCUUGAUUGUCUCUACUAUGAGGCUCAUGACCUUGAAUUUCUGAGGUACAUCAAAUACAUGAAGAAAAUUGAUUGCAUGGCCUCUGAUCAUCUUGUGAUCACCUGACUUGGUCAACAAGGUGUGCCUCAGUAUCCAAUUGAUAGUUGGCAACCCUGACAGAAGAUAAUGCACUGAGCCAAAUUUGAAAGUUUCAAGAGCUUCAUUUGGAAUUUCCUUGUACAUAUUGGACAUAGAGUUGUGGUCCAUCUUCUUCUUGGCAUAGAUAUCCAAGUCAUCCUCAUGCUCCUCUGGGGCAUUGAUGAGCUAUGCCCACUCAGCAACAGUAGAUUGGUACCUCGUACCUUCAGACAUCCAAACAAUCCUCCCAUUUGGAUAAAAAUGUGCUGUGGAGUAGAACUGCAUGAUAAGCUCCUCAUUCCACUUUGUGAGCUUCUGCCCAACAAAGUCUGCAACUCCACAAGCACUAAAGCUGUCAAUCACACCAGGAUAGUGUUCCUCAUUUUCCUUCAUGUAGGUCCAGUCGACCCAUCUCAUGUCACAAACAACGGGCUUCUUAUCAAGCAAAACUGUCUCAUAGAAAUCUUGCUGUUCCUUGGUGUGAAACCUGUAAUCCACAUCAGUCCUUCUCCUUGAAGCAUAUGGAUCUGCUUCUCUCCACUUCCUCAGCCCUGAGUCUCUCCUCAGCUUCAUAUCCUCGGCCACAGGAUGAGCAUCGUUGUGGUCUGGGAUCUUGGGCUUGAGUUUUCUGAGUACUUGCGCUUCAUCAUCUUCUUCUGCAGCUUCAGGCACUGGGGCCUUGUUCUUCUCAGUUGCAGGUAUGCUCCUCGUAUUUCUCUUUGGUGCAGACUUGGGCUUGGAGGCAGCUUUGGGUGCUUCUUUGGGCUUAGAUGUGGCAGCCCCUGAUCUUAUAGCAUCACCCAUAAGCUUAGGUGCCUUAGGUGCUGGUGCAGCAACCUCUUCUUCUUCCUCUUCUUCCAUGAUGGAAGCCUUUCCAAGCACUCUGGCUACGGUCUUCUUGACCCUUUCUUUCCUCUUCUUGCCUUCAGCAGCAACUGACUCUUUGGGUGCAGGCUUUUCAGGAAUCUGAGUUGAAGCUCUGGCCUUUGGCAUAGGCUGCCUACCUGCUGGCCUUUUGACUUUCAAGCCUGGCUUUGUGCCUUGUGCUGGCUCAACUAUCUUUGAUGUGGCUUCCUCUUCUCCCACAUAAUCUUCAUCCUCAGAAUCUGAAGUUCUCUUCUUCCUUUGUAUGGUGGCAGCUUUUGGCAAAUUGCUAGGGGUGCUCCUGCUGCCUUCAUCAGAAGAACUGGAGGGACUAGUGCCCUCACUCAUCUGCACUUGCUGCUCUGACAAGUUCUGGCUGUCACUCUGAUCUGACAUGAUGAACAAGCUGUCUGCUGACCCUGUGAAUAGUUUAUAGAUGAGGUAGGAUAGAUGAGCAUCACAAAAUGCAGAGAUUUUUGCAAAAGAAUGAUCCAAAAACUUAGUUUUAGUUUCCCACUGAAAUCAUCUCGGAUCUACCGAUUUUUAAACUCGGUGAUACCGAAGCAGUUUUGGCACCUAAACUAGUGAACUCGGUCAGACCGAGUCACAGUUCGGUGUCACCGAGACUGCUAGGGUUUCACAAAGUUCCAAAAUAGGUCACACCGAUAAGUAAUUCUCGGUCAGACCGAGUCUCACUUGUGCAAUGGCAUGAGCCAAAUCGGUGGGACCGAGUUUUUCAACUCGGUGGGUCCGAGAUGGUUUCGGCGGAAACCUAACCCUAAAAUUUUCGAAUCAAACCUAAUCUACGAGCGCAUUGACUGGAUAGGAGUGUUUCAAUCGUGGCAAGAAUCAUGAUGAUCACAAUGUGCUAAGAAUCGGAUUGGAGAAUAGCAUAAAGAUCGAGUCCAUACCCUAGUUCGGCGGAGACUCGCUACGGCGGAAACGGCGGGGUAGAAUUCCGUUGACGGCAACGGAGACCAGCGACUGGAGGCGGCUGGCGGCGAGGAGACGAUCCGGAGACCAAGUUGGCAGAGCAGGCUAUCGCGCGGGCGAAGGGGUUCGGAGAAAUUUCCAAAUUUUUGCCCGUGACUAUAUAUAGCCCGACCCUGUCGGUGUGACCGAGUGGAACGACUCGGUGGCACCGAGAUGCAAAACUGUAUACAGUUGUUGCAACUCGGUGUGACCGAAUGGUUCAAAUCGGUUGCACCGAGAUCGAAAACCUAGAUCAACUUAAUGAUCUCGGUAGGACCAAAAGUGGGGUAUCGAUCAGACCGAGAAUCAUAAAGAGGUUUUGGAAGUUUAAGUCUAUGACGAAUCGGGGACUCCGAGUGCUCCUCACACAGAGUGGUUCGAAUCUGACUUGAUCAAAUUUUGUGAUGUAGCAUGAAUAGAGUUUGAGGAGAGAAAAGCAUAGAUAGCUAGAGGAGGUUCUUAGGCAUUCUUGUCCAUCCACUUGGCAAAAGGAAAUAAAACCAAACAAUCAAAACAACAAGUGGAUGUCCUCGAAUGAGUAAAAUAUGCAACCAGCAUGCUCACACAAUAAGAUGGCAAAUGAAAUAUGUGACAAGGCAUGCACAACCAAUUCUAGCAUCUAUCAGGCAAUUUGCGAUGACAAGGUCAUCUAUAUAUGAGUAUAUUGACUUAGGAGUCAAGUGAGAACACUUGAUCAUAGGUCAUACUCAUCGUUUAAGCUCAAGUGGGGUUACCACUUUUACAUAAAGCAUUGUUGUGUUCACAUCUUUAGAGUUGCUUUAGCUCAAGUCUUAGAGUAAAGCUCCCCCUAGAUGUGAUAUCCCCCCUUAGAGGGAUGAACUAACCUUGGGUUUUGUCGAUGAUGACUUCAUGUAGAUGUUGAAGAUGUGGAUGCUCAAUGUUGAUGUAGAUCACUUGGAGCUAUCCAUUUGAGUGAAUUGCACUUUCAACACCUACAUGGGUUAGUCCCACAAGGAACAAACAAGGAUAUCCAUAGACAUAGAGUGAUGCACACACAAGAUGAUGUCCAUGAAAACUUUUAGGUUACCUUGUCCCUUGUCUUACCAACAAGAGGGUUUGUGACUCCUUGAACUAGUGCAAGAUGUGGAAGUUGAUUGCACUUGUUCUUGCCAAAAUGAUAAGAGUGAAGUAUGUUGGCGGAGUCACCCUCAAGAACUCUCUAGUUCUUCUUCUUUUGGAUCCACACCAUCUUGAUGGGAAUCCUUGGAGUUGUAGUCGUACUUGAUGAAGUGGAACUUGAAGUAGUCUUGGGAAUCCACUUGACCAAGGUCUUAGGAGCUUCUUCAAAUGCAUCAAUUUCCUCUUGAAGCUUGUCCUUGCCUUUUUGCUUGUAGUCUUGUGGUGGAAGAUCAUCUUGAGCUUGUGUCCCCUUGAAAGAAGUAUCAUACUCCUCUUGUUGAGGAACAAACUUUGUCUUGGGGUAUUGAUCUUCUUCCCACUCAACUCCAUUGGCAUUGAACUUUUGUUCAAAACCAACACCUUGAUUCUUCCGGUGCAUUCCUUGCUUGCGCACAAUUUCCUUGAAUUGCUUACUCCCGGCAAGGCUUUUGUACACUCCUUUCUUUAUAAUUCCCUUCAAUAAGCUAUUUUCUUGCUCAAGUGUAACUUGGCUAAGAGAAUCAUUAGUGGAAUCAAGAGAACUACUAGAAGCAACAAUAUUGGAUUUAGCAUGAUCAUUGUUACUGCUAGAGGAAGAAUCUUUCUUGUUCUUGUUACUAGACUUGACUUGAGGCAUGUAAGUGGAUAAGAGUAAACGCUUGGCAAUGUAAGAAGAACUUUUCUUGCGGAGAUCAUCAUUGAUUGCUUUUAAGAACUCAUGCUCUUGCUCAAGAUUGAGUUUUUCAAAGCGUAAUUUCUCAUGAGCUCUUAAAAGUUCUCGAUGAUCUUCGAAGAUAGUUUCAUGAGCUAACUUAAGAGUGUUUAGUUCUUUAGUUAGAGCCUCAAUCUUCUCCUUAUCAUUGUCAUUCGUUUUAUCUUGAUUAGCAUGAUUAAUUGACGUUUCAUCAUAGUAUUCAUCACUAGAGUUGUCAACAAGCAAAUCAUCACCUAACAAGUCAUCUUCAUCACUAUUGAAAUCAACAUACUCGGGGUGUGUUACCUUAGGACCUUUGGCCAUGAAGCAUCUUCCAAUUCCUUCAUUUGGUGAGUCAAAUAUGUCGUAGGAGUUGGUUGACACAAGUGCUAGACCGGCAACACCUUCAUCUUGAGUAUCUUCGGAGUCGGAGUGAUAACUUCUCUCGGAGUGGCUAUCGGAGUCGGAGCCGGAUACCCAUUCACCAACAUGAGCUUGAUGUCUUUGUUUUGUGUAGCUCCUUGAUGAUUUUUCCUUCCUUUCCAAAUCCUUGCUUCUCCAUGAGUAUCUUCGUUCAUAACGAUCAUCUCUACUCCUUCUCUCUCUUGGUGGUGAUUCUUUGCUUCUUCUUUUUGGAGAAUCUUCUCUUCUCUUGUAGGGAGCCGUACACUCAUUGGAAUAGUGUCCAGGUCUUCCACAACUGUAGCAGUUUCGCUCUCGACUAGAAGAUCUUUUGUCAUUGUAGGACCUUGACUUAAAGCUUCUAGCUUUGCUUCUACUCUUGUAGAACUUGUUGAAGUUCUUCACCAUUAAGCUCAAUUCUUCAUUGAAGUUUUGUUUCUCACUUGAUGAUGUAGGGGCUUCACAUGAGGCUUUGUAGGCACCACUUGAUUUGUUGUGAAGUUCCUCUUUAUCCUUAAGUGACAUCUCAUGAGCAACAAUUCUUCCAAUCACCUCCGUUGGCUUGAGAUCUUUGUAAUUGGGCAUCAUUUGGAUCAAUGUGCACACGGUAUCAUAUUUUCCAUCCAAGGCUCUUAGAAUCUUCUUGAUGAUGAAUCUAUCGGUCAUCUCUUCACUUCCUAAGCCGGCAAUCUCAUUUGUGAUGAGAGCAAGCCUAGAGUACAUUUCAGCGACACCUUCACCAUCCUUCAUUUUGAACUUGUCAAGUUGACUUUGAAGCACAUCCAACUUGGAUUCCUUGACGGAGUCGGUACCUUCGUGCAUAUCAAUCAAAGUGUCCCAAAUUUCCUUUGCAUUCUCAAGACGGCUGAUUUUGUUGAAUUCUUCGGGGCACAAUCCGUUGAAGAGAAUAUCACAAGCUUGAGCAUUGUAUUGCAACAUCUUCAACUCAUCCGCGGUAGCUUCACGAUUUGGUUCUUUCCCAUCAAAGAAGUCACCUUGCAAACCAACACACACAAUAGCCCAAACGGCGGGGUUAUGUCCAAGAAUAUGCAUUUUCAUUUUAUGCUUCCAACUAGCAAAGUUAGUACCAUCAAAGUAAGGACCUCUACGGUGAUAAUUUCCCUCGCUAGAUGCCAUACUCUCCUAGGUUGUGAAACCAAGGCUAUGACCACCAAAAGCUAUGGAGAUCAAAGCAAAUGGAGACCAAAGCUCUGAUACCACUUGUAGGAUCGAAAGUAUGUCUAGAGGGGGGGUGAUUAGACUACUUGACCAAAUAAAAGCUUAACCUUUUCCCAAUUUUAGUUCUUGGCAGAUUUUAGCUAUUGUAGACAAGUCAAGCAAUCAUCACACCAUUCAAGCAAGCAUGCAAAGAGUAUAUUGGCAGCGGAAAGUAAAGCAUGCAACUUGCAAGAAUGUAAAGGGAAAGGUUUGGAGAAUUCAAACGCAAUUGGAGACACGGAUGUUUUUCCCGUGGUUCGGAUAGGUGGUGCUAUCCUACAUCCACGUUGAUGGAGACUUCAACCCACGAAGGGUAACGGUUGCGCGAGUCCACGGAGGGCUCCACCCACGAAGGGUAACGGUUGCGCGAGUCCACGGAGGGCUCCACCUACAAAGGGUCCAUGAAGAAGCAACCACCCUCAAAGGGUCCACGAAGUAGCAACCUUGUCUAUCCCACCAUGGCCAUCGCCCACGAAGGACUUGCCUCACUAGCGGUAGAUCUUCACGAAGUAGGCGAUCUCCUUGCCCUUACAAACUCCUUGGUUCAACUCCACAAUCUUGUCGGAGGCUCCCAAGUGACACCUAGCCAAUCUAGGAGACACCACUCUUCAAGAAGUAACAAAUGGUGUGUUGAUGAUGAACUCCUUGCUCUGUGCUUCAAAUGAUAGUCUCCCCAACACUCAACUCUCUCUCAUAAGAUUUGGAUUUUCUGGAAAGAAGAUUUGAGUGGAAAGCAACUUGGGGAAGGCUAGGGAUCAAGAUUCAUAUGGUAGGAAUGGAAUAUCUUGGUCUCAACACAUGAGUAGGUGGUUCUCUCUCAGAACAUAUAAGUUGGAAUUGUGUAUGUGUUCUGAUGGCUCUCUCCACGAAUGAAGAGGAGGUGGAGGGGUAUAUAUAGCCUCCACACAAAAUCUAACCAUUACACACAGUUUUCCAAUCUCGGUGGGACCAAAUCAACAAACUCGGUCGGACCGAAAAGGUAAACCUAGUGACCGUUAGAGAUUUUCGGUGGGACCGACAUGCAACUCGGUAGGACCGAUAUGGUUAGGGUUUGGGCAUAACGUAAUCUCGGUGAGACCGAUUACACAAACUCGGUGCGACCGAUUUUGGUAAUUAGCUAACCAGAGAGUUGGUCAGGCAAACUCGGUGGGACCGAUUUGCUCUUUCGAUGAGACCGAAAAGUUACAAAAAGGAAACACUGAAUUUACAUUGCAAUCUCGGUGGGACCGAUCCGCUCUUUCGGUGAGACCGAAAAGUUAUGAAAGGGAAACAGAGAGUUUGCAAUCCCAUCUCGGUGAGACCGAGAUCCCUAUCGGUAGAACCGAAUUGGUAGGGUUUGGCAGUGGCUUAUGACAAGUGAAACUCGGUGGCGCUGGAUAGAAAGAAUCAGUAGGACCGAGUUUGGCUUAGGGUUUAGGUCAUAUGUGGAUAUGGGAAAGUAGUUGAGGGUUUUGGAGCAUAUCACUAAGCACAUGAAGCAAGAGGCUCAUUAAGCAACACCUCAUCCCUCCUUGAUAGUAUUGGCUUUUCCUAAAGACUCAAUGUGAUCUUGGAUCACUAAAAUAAAAAAUGAAGAGUCUUGAGCUUCUGAGCUUGAGCCAAUCCUUUGUCCUUAGCAUUUUGAGGGUUCCACUUUCACAUCCAUGCCAUGCCAAUCAUUGAGCUUUCCUGAAAUAGUCAUCUUGGAAUAGCAUUAGCUCAAUGAGCUAUAUGUUGUUAUGAAUUACCAAAACCACCUAGGGAUAGUUGCACUUUCAGCUCCGUUGGUCGGGAGGCGGACGGAGAUGGCGACGGAAGCGGUCGAACACGAUGGCGGCCGAAGACGAUGAGGAAGAAGAAGACGUCGCAGCGACUCGUUCCGGCUCCACGUAGACGACGUAGUGGACGUAGUCGACUUCGUGGAAGGCGACAGACACGAUCUACGGGGCUGAGGAUGACGGGUCUCACGCCGGCGAUGACGACGCGCUCCUGGAUGCGUUCGGGGCGGUGGAUCUGGUGGCAAAGGUGGCCUGGCGGCCGCUAGAGGUAGAGGGAAACCCUAGGGAGCGUGUGGACAAGGAGAUGGGUCUUGAAGGGGCUAGGGCGAGCGGGGCGAGCUCGCGGUGGCGUGGCCGUGGCCAUGUGCGUGCGCGGGAGAGGGGGACCGAGGUAGGGGAAAGGUGGGUGCGGGCGCAACGGCAGUCGCUGUCAGCUGGGGCCGGCUAGGCCACAUGGGCGCGAGGUAGAGGGGGUGUGCGGGCGAGCGUGUGAGAAAAAGGAGCGAGGGAGAGGCGCAGGCAGGCUGAGCGGGCUAGGGCUGGAACUGCUGCUGGGCCGGCCUGGAGGCCAAGGGCCAGGUAAGCUGCUGCUGGCUUGCGCUCUUCUCUUUUUCUUUUCUUCAGACAGGAAAAUAAAGAGAAAUGCACAGGGGGAAAGGAGAGGUGUAUGAGAGAUAUGAGAAUAUCCUCAUGACCCUGGAAUUAUGCCCUAUUUGAUAAAAUCAAGUUGGGCAUUUUUAGAGGUAGAAAAAUAAAACAAGUCUGAAUAAAAUUCAAACUUGAGGCAUUUUUGAACCUAACCAAAUCAACUCCAAAAUAGGUGAAACUUGGCAAGGAGGUUUUGGACAUGGUGCAAGAUUCAUAGGGAGAAAAUGAACAUUAAUGGAGUAGUGCAAUAUGGGACUUGCAAAAAAAAGAUAGGGGUAGGAGGAGAAGUGAUGGUGCAUGGAUCACCCAUGGAGCAUGCAACAGUACAACAUGCAUGAAAACAAACACACAAUGCACAUGAUGCUCAUGGCAACAACAUGAAUGACCAAACACAAAGCUAUACUUGAUAUGACCAUGAUGCAACAUAUGAUGGCAUAGAAAAAUAUAACAAGACAAUGCAAAAGUAAAACAACAACUAAAAACAAAAGAUGAAACCCAAAAGGAAUUGGAAUAAGAUCAAGUGGAUAUAUUACUCAAAAAGAAAAGUUUUACAUCUGGGAUGUUAAAUAAGGGCAUGGGCUUCAACAAUGCAAUUUAUGCCAGUUGCCGAUGCUUCCAAGAUGGUGUCGUUCUCAGGUCCAGCCGGGUCCUACCGUCGGCUUGUCGACUCCUCUAAGCACACGGGUGGCGGUGACCCGGUUUGUUCUGAAGUCAUGCUUGCUGGCAAGAGGUGUCCAAUAUCGGUUUAGUAGCACUCUUGAUGCCCCGUAUCCUGCCUCCAAGCCAUUCUAGACUUCAGAUUAGAUAAGACAUAUCAUUUAUCCUUGUAGUUGUAGCGGGAGUGUUUGCUAGUCCAUGAGAUUAACGUUGUGUGCAGAAAUAUGUUGCUUUGACUUCCCUUCUACUCUCUCUGUUCGGAAAUACUUGUCCUAGAAAUGAUUGUAUCAAGUCUAGAUACAACCAUUUUUAGAACAAGUAUUUCCGAACGGAGGGAGUAUGAAAUAUGAUGCACACCUCUAUUGUGUAUUCUAGAAAUGAAAAAGGAAUUAUAGCAUGGUAGGAUUGUUUGUGUGUGCAUACAUAAAUGUAUAUGCUGGUAUAAGUCUGGCUUUUGUGUAUAUAUAUGAAGGAAACGUUCAAGGAACAAGUAGAAGCUAUUCAUCCAAUCCAGAAAGACAACAACUUCUGUCUCUAAAACCCUAGACAUCUAUCUAUAUCUAUAUCUAUAUCUACUAAUAAAGUAAGGUGCGUUUUUCUAAAUUUUUCAUCCGUUCAUUAUCAAAUUUUUUAAUUCGAGACAGAACUAAUUUUUUUUCUUCUGUCCGUUCCUCUAUUAAAAAAGAAAAAAUGCUAGAAUUUCGUACAUGGCCACCCGCAGUGUGGCCCAACAAAGCCAGCCCUGUUAUUAUCGUGCCCAUGCAGUUGGGAAAACCCUAUUUAUCACACAGAGCGUCAAAUAGUGGAAAAUUCGCACCGCGCGCCCAACUUGGCCUGAACCAUUUUUUUGUGUUAUGUUUCUAAUUUCCUUUUUCCGUUUCUUUCUCCUUUUCUUUCCUGUUUAUUUUGUAUUUUCUCCUUUCAAGUUUAUUUUUCUUUCUCCCUUUUUUCAUAAAUUCAAAAUUUUCAAUAAAGUUAAUAUAUCAUAAAAAUCGAACUUUAGAAAAAUGUUUAGAAUUUUAAAAUAUAUUCCAUUUUUAAAAAAAAUUCAGAACAUUGAAUCUUUGUUCUCAUUUCAAAAUAAUUGUAAAUUCGCGCAGGGCACCCAAGCUGGGUUGAACCGUUUUUAUUUGUUCCGUGUUAUGUUUUCAUUUCCCUUUUUCCAUUUCUUUCUAUUUUUCUUUCCUGUUUCUUUUGUCUUUUUUGAGCUGGCCAUUGGUUGGUAAUACUCGUUUCUUCGAGUAGCUACCAACACUUAGUCGGGUCUUUGAGGGCAUGAUUAUGACCAUUCAACUCAUUAUUCUUUGGAUUUUUUCGCAUUACAAACACAUGUCGUCUUGAAGCCUACCACUGUGCUGGUCAUACAUGAACUGAUGUGUGUCCCACGUGCUAUUUUACACAACUAGCAUUAUAUAGUAGCCCCCACACAAUUGGCCCAAGAAAAAAAAUGCUUCGUCGCACAUGCAGUAUUGGGCCUCAGCCGCACUCCCCUACUGGUUACUCCGAGGGAGCAUUUUUUCUUGGGCCAAUCAAAGAGAAUAUGUUGGUUUACCUCGAACAAAAAAAUUAUGGACACAUGAGCGCUACAAUAAUCAAAGAGAAUAAAUCCUAAUAAAGAAGGAACAUUGAUGUCUGGUUGUGGAAUAUGCUAAUAAAGUGAGACUUAUGCGCUACAAUUGGUAAUCCAUUCGGUUACGUCAUCUUAAGCGAGACUGGUCGAAGCAAUCAUGCCCCGAAAGUCGCCGCAUAGCUACCAAAUGAGGAGGCGGACACAACCCCGAGAAAGAGGCGGACCCGGAGGAAAAAAAGCACGAGUUGGAUGGUUGCCACCACACUGACUAACCCCACUACUAUCAAGAUCUCGCAGGACAAACAAGACCGCUUUGGAGAUCGUUUUUGAUGGACAGAUCAAUUACCUCUCCCAUUGCUUUUUGCAAAGAAAUAUCUCUCCCAUUGCAACGCACGGGCAUAUGGACUAGUAUCUUCUAAUUCACUAAGCUCCCUGGGGUAAAAACGAAAAAUAAUUAUAUGAGACCAGGUCUCAUGGGCUAGCAUGUGAGACCCAUCCUGAUGGAUGACACGUGACAUUUACAAAUCACAAAGCAUAUACCCCACCCCCACUUGAAAUCAGGAGAUGAGAGAGAUUAGAUGCUUUAUGAUUUGUGAAUGCCACGUGUCAUCCAUCAGGAUGGAUCUCAUCUGCUAGUCCGUGAGACCUGGUCUCAUAUAAUUUUUUUCGGUAAAAACACCCAGGAGCAAUCCACGCUAGCGAUUGUGUUGGUUGCCUCGAUUUUGACUUGGUCAAGCGCUGGGUGGGUUUUGCUCCCUACUCCUCAUCCAUGAUGUGCCCUAAUAAUAAGUGGGAGUCAAGGUGGCAACGCAGACGGGGAUGACUCCACCAUCCCCGCCUCGAUCCCCGCCAACCCCCAUACCCGCGAUCCCCGUGAAGCUUCGCGGGGACAAAACGCCCCUCAUCCCUGUUAAUAUCGGGUAUCCGGUACCCGUCGGGUAUCCAGGGGGAUUUCAAAGCUGACUGGGAUAGGUAAGAUUGGAGAAGAAAUGGUUGUUGGGAGAGGUGAAGAAAAAUAAUUGUGUAAAAUAUCGAGGUAUUAAUAUAUAUAUUCUGCAUUUGUAGUACAAAUGGCAUAAUUUUCAGGUAUCCAUGGAGUCCUCACGAAGAAUUUCAUAUACAUCCCCGUUCUGCGAGACUAACGGGUACCCGUCAAACAAUACCUAUGAAGCUAAUUUGUUCUUCAUUCCCGCUCCAUAACGGGUAAAUCCCCAUGGGUACCCAUCCACACGGGGAAUAUUGCCAUCCUGAAGUGGGAGGAGUCGGCCUAAUAGACCAGACAGGGCCCGGACUGGUCGAGUCCCACGCUCCCUUUCAUGCGAGCUCUUCUUCCUCGUGGUCUUCCAUCCUGCCGCCAGCCGCCGCCUACUGCUUCUCCCGCUGGCCGCUGCCGGAUUUCCUCUCGCCCCACUACUACCUUCUUUUCCCCCAUCAUCGGCCGUCUCCAGGUCUCCUUCACCACCGGCACCUCCUUCUCCCCAUGGCCCACUGCCCCGCCAACUCCUCCGCCGCCGGUCCACCUUCUACGCGUGCUGCGCCGCAGGCUUCACCGAUUCUCCACUCCCUCGUGAGAUUGAUGCCUCUGCCCUCUGCCUUCUCACCCCUCCUCCACCCUAAAUCUAUGCCUACUGCAGCAAGGCAGAGAGGUCCAUCCCCCAAACCAGCAAAAUGUGGGGGCUGAUGAGAUUUGCUACUGGUACGUAGAUCGGGACGGCUGAUCAAUGGUCGAGAUUCAUAAUUGUAAGAAGGCAAAUGCGUAAUUUCUAUUCUCUUUAAUAAUUCAUUUAUGCUCUUAGCAAAUCACGAUGCUGAUGUAACACAUGCUAUCUAUGUGAUUUCUAGAAAAAUAUAGAACUAGCUGGCCUUGAACCAGCUUCAAUAGUAGGGAAUGUUUCUUUGUAAAACUUUAGGGCCUGUUCGCUUCAAAGGAUUUGUAGACUUUCCAAAGGAAUGUUCAUUCCAUAGUUUUCAGUUCCUUCACUGGCGUUCGGAUCAAGGGAAUCAGCUACAGCGUUCCUAUGGAAAAGUUCGUAAACAGUGGUCAUUUUACAGGAAUCUAAACAUCUGGUCUGAACCAAUUUUUGGGCGGAGGCCCGAGGCAAGCCAACUCGCAAGCCAAAUAAAAUAUUCCUUUCGCAUGGGUGGGAGAGAAGCAAUACCAGCAUGCAGCGGUUAGAACACUUGGUGCCUGAAUAAAAUACUCAAUACUGUUGCAUCAGUAGUACGGCUCCUUUGCUCAUACCUCUAGACAAUUUCCUGUGAACCGAACACCCUUUAUUCUUCUAUUUUGCGAACUGCAGGAAUGUACUGUACAGCCAACCGCAUUCCUAUACUUUUUUACAUCCCUUUGUUUUUCUUACCUGUGUAUCGAACGGGGCCUUAGUUGGCUCCCAUAUCUUCCAUACUGCAUUUGGGUGCAUGCUUUAUGCAAUUAACAUUAGUUUUUUUGUAUUCAGGGUGCCAUGCCAACAGAGAUAUUUGCAGCAUGAGGAUGGAUAUUGAUCAGUCCUACCAUACCCCUGCAAAUGAGGCUUUGCAUGCUGGGGGUUCUUGUUGGACAUCCACCAAGAGAACCGACAAUUUGGAAAAAGUAAGGAGCUCUGUUCGGUCUCAGGAUGGUUUGCGUGCAUGAGGUCUUGGAACAGUGGCAUCAGACAAUGGUUAAUAGCAGUAAGAUUUUUGAACCAUUGCCGAAGCUGAGGGUGUUGUCUUAUUGUGUAAUGGAUAACCCUCAUUUAGAUCUGGAGUGAGGUGAUAGGAAUAGUAAGCAACAGUAGGAAACCAACGCAAUCUCUUACUAUAUAGUUGUGUGAAGAUGCUCAUCUAUCCUUCAGCAACUGCAAAUUUCUUAAUCCGAUACAAGAACCAGGUCAUAAGCAUUAGUGACACCAUUUAAUUAAGCAAAUGAUCAUGUUUGUACCUUUCAGCUGAGCCAAAGAUUCUAAUAUAUUUCUGUUUAGAAUAGGAAAUGAUUUUUACGCGAGAAACUGCUUUUUGUAGAAAAAAACUUCUGUUAGCAACUAAAUCAAUUUUUUUUUUGCUCGAACAUAAUAAAUCGUAUUAAGAUUGCAUUGUAGACCAUAUGCUCCAUUGCCUGUUGUUAGUGCUUUCAGAAGUACCCCCAGUCUCAUGCUUUUAUGUAGUACAUUGGCUCUACAAUCUACACUGGCUCACUAGCGAGCUGGAAAUGUUUUGUGUAAAUAUAAUGUAGCCUUUGGCUAUUUCUCAAGCAUCAGAAGUGCCAUAGGAUAGAUGGACUGAUAGCCGAAGUUUACUGACGAUGUAGUCCUGGAUCAUGGUGAACUUGUGCUGCCAUUUUGGCUGGAUGUUAUGUGUGCGCACCUGCAUAUCCAAAACAUUAACGUGUGCAUCAAAGGCGCUCGGUCGCGCGUGCCAUGUCAUCAGGUCGAUCGGGUGUGAGGGUUAGCGAGGAGAAAAAACAGAUCGAAAAAAAGAAGAUGGUCGAUUGGGCAGCGGCCAGAUAACGCCUCCACUGCUUUCUCUUCCCCACAAAGCAAACCCUCACCUCCCAGGUUCACACGCAACCUCCGCUCGUCUCCUUGUUUCUCUCCUCCGCCUCUUCCUCCGGGUGUACUUGCGGCUGCAGCGGGAUGGGAGUAAAGGGGGCGAGCAGGAUGGGUGGCCAGCUGAUUUCUUCGAAGGAUCUGGAGCCCAGGGGCGACGCCGGUGAGUAAUCAACCAGUUUCUCAAUCCUUCUUCCCAUCCACUUCUGAUAUGUCAUUAUGCCCAUCUAGCGGAGGACCGGGAGUGGGGGCGAUGGCCAGGCCUGGUGGUGACGGGACGAUUUAGUGGUCGGAGGCGCUACAUCGGAUGCCAGUCAGUCUGCAACGACUCCAGCGCCAGUGUGCCCCUUGGCACCUCCCGCGCCAAGGUCUAUUUCCUUCCUUCCCCUUGCUCCCCUCGCUCCCACCCUCCCUCCCUCCAUUGUUCUGUGUUGGAUUCAUUCAUCAUGGUUGCUGCUCGCUCCUGUUCAUAUUGAUUGGAUCGGGUCGAUGGCUGCCGCAAAUCAUUGGCGUUAGCGUUGACAUCAAUUGGAUCGGUUCUUGCAUGCAAUGCAGGAUCAGAUUUUGCCUUCCGGCUUGUGAAGCAUCUAUCUCUAGGAUCUGUGCCAUGUUACAAAACCUGAACUUGAGUUGUUUUUCAGUUAACUGAAACACACCAGAGAGGUUUCAGACUUUCAGUUGACUCAAGUAAAGUUAAAUUGAUUGACUAUUUGUACAGGUACUCGUUGUGAUUAGGGUAAAUCGUAACAACAGUUUAGCUUUCCAAUUUUCAUCCUUAUAGCUGCAUGAAUUAGCGAAGUAACUGAUUGUUCCUAUUAACCUGAACUGAAGGUUCUUUAUGUGGCACACGCCUGAACUCACUCAAGUUGAUUCGCUGAAAGAAACCUAACUUGUCGGAACAGAUACUGAUUUAGGAAUUCUAGCAUUAGUUUACCUCUAUCCCCUUACCACCGUGGUCGAGUUACAUUGCGGAUUUGAGCUUCAACUGUUCCGAGCUUAUUGAACUCUCAUGCGAUUGAUGCUUGUACGUUCACUGCAUUUCCCCCUUCCUCUCCAUCCGCUCUUGCCUGCCCGUCGUCUCCUUCAUGUCCCAGCCUCUACAUUUUCCCCUUCCUCUCCAUCUGCUCUUGCCUGCCUGUUGUCUCCUUCAUGUCCCAGCCUCUACAUUUUCCCCCUCCUCUCCAUCCGCUCUUGCCUGCCUGUCAUCUCCUUCAUGUCCCAGCCUCUACAUUUUCCCCUUCCUCUCCAUCUGCUCUUGCUUGCCUGUCGUCUCCUUCAUGUCCCAGCCUCUACCAUGUCAUCCUUGCCGACGAGCUCGGCCUCUGUGGCAGCAGCCCCAUGGCCGCCGGUAUGUGGAAUGAGAAUGUCCAGUUGUUCUUCAACACUAACAGAGGUCCCCUGUUCUUUUCCUAUAGAUGAAUGUUUCAUUCAUUGAUAAUUUGCAGUGCAUGUCUAUCAUAAUUCUGUAAUUUAUUUGUUCUUUGGACUAAUGCAUUGGUAUAAAAAUUAACUAUUGAAGUCACAUCUUGGAGACUACUCUGUUCUAGAAUGCAUGAUGGAAGGUACAUGAGAUCGUUAGUUUAUUAUCUGGUCUUUCACACCCAUUGACAGUGAUCUCAUUUGAAGGUUGGAGGGCCGGGUCUCCUCAGAAUCAUUUGAGAUCGUCACACCAGUUUCUUCUAAAGCUGUAUUUGAAGCUAAAAGGAUGGUGCUUCUGUUCUUUGAUUGAUAUUUUAUCCCAGCAUCAUCGGAAACUAACUACUUGAUAUUUUGGUCUGCUAUCUUACCUGUACUUGUCCCUUCAGAUAUAUGGCACUCAUUUUAUUUUAAAAACAAAGUUGAUUUAUUGAGGAGCUGCAGACUAUCUCAGUUUGCAUAUGCUUUUAGUGUCGAAAAUAAUUUAGCCAUGUUUGAAACUGUAGUUAAUAGCUUCAUCUAAAUAUUGAUCUGUUGUGUUAUUGCAGGGAAUAGAUGUGAAAUGCUCAACUUAGGAGGGAGCAUAGACAAGGUAUUCCACACUUCCCAUCCUCCUCCUAUAGCAAAGGAACAUCCAACAUGUCAUGUGUCGCUCACUAACUAAUAAACAGGAAUCUGAAGUUGGAAAGAAACAACUGGAUAUCAAAGCAAAAGUAUCACGUCUCCUCUUAGAAAUCAGCUAACUAUUCUAAUUCUGGAGACUCUUAUGGCCCUAGAUCUGCCAGGCAGUUGCAAUUGUUGCUUUAGUCAAACUAAAAAAUUGUUAACUUUGCAGUGUAAGCGGACCCUUUAGCAGGAGAGCAACACAACUGCUAGCUUCCCUGUAAGUUCAGUGUGUUUCUUAACUGUAAAGAUCAUUUCCUUAUCAAGUCAUUCUCAAUGUGUGUUAUUUCAUUCUGGUGCCUGCAUGCGGCAGUACAGGAGAUGGAUACGAAGUCCGUGGAGGGUCAGAAUACAAAGCUCUACUAGGUGAUGGAGCUGGAGAAGUUGAGUACUUCCAGUCUCUUGACGAACGAAUCAUUAAAUGAAGGUGUUUUGCUGAUACUCUUCAGUUUGGUUGCUCCAUGAUUAAAGCUAAUUGACUUCCUUUUUUAAUUCUCAUGGAGAAAUACAUAUACGUUACUUUCAGUGAUUCCAUGUAGAGUAUAAGAAGCUGAACAUCUUUCUUUGCAGGGAGUUUCUGAUCCUAUUAAAUGUCAUUGCGGACUGGAGUACAAUGUAGAACUAGGCAGGGAUGCCAUGGGUGCAAGAUGAACUCAUUAUAUAGAUGACCACAGGUCCAGUGUGUUUAAAGUAUGCAUAUGUGCGGCUGCCGUAUGUACAGCUUGACAACUCCAUAUAGAGAAACUGGAUAAAGUGCCAGUGCCGCAGGAGCAAAACAGCGCCCCAGAUGAAACCAACACGGAUGACGAUUAACUUCUCUGACCUUAAUCACAUUAAUGAGUGAACUUUCUUGUAAUCCUUUUUCCUGACACUAUAAGGCAAUGGCUUAGCCUGAUAUUUUGGUAGUUGUGUAAGUUGAAACAUGAUGCUAAGCCGAACAAUUUAUUGUCCUUUUUUCGCAUGAUAUCACAUUUUGGUAGUUGUGAAGCCUAAACCAUGAUGCUUUUGCUACUGCUGUAGUCCCUAAUGAAAUUGUGAGAUAAUGUAGUUAAGCUAAGUUUCUUUUGUUUCAAUAAAACAGAUGCUGGUAGUUGCAUAAGUUGAACCAUGAUGCUGGUUAAGCUAAUCUCAUUGAUUGCACUCCCAAAAAUCACAGGAGCCAUUCAGAAAAAGGUAUGGUAGUAUUAGAAAUUGAUCGUGUAAUGUACUGAUUCAGACAGCUGACUAAAAUUUUAAUUGGGACACUACAGAUUAGUAGAGUUCUUUACUGUUGAAAUUUCUGAGGGGAUUUAUGGAAGGUUUGUUUAUCUCUCCUCCCAUUCCAAAUUUCAGUUUAACAUUUCUAGCACUUUCAUUUUUCCUCAAAGUAUUUUUGUCUGCUUUCGUGGUAAGCAUACUAUAGGUAGUAUUCCAUUAUCACUGAUAUUUUAUAGUUAUAGUUGUACUUCUAAUACAGUUUGUACAGAAAUAUGGUUGUUGAGUAGCAUAUUUUCUUAGGGUGUGUCUAGGGCACAUCUAGAUGUGCUCUAGUUAUUGCACAUCUAAGUGAGUGAAUCAAGCAUAAAGAGAAAAAGAAAAAAGAGAAAGAAAAUAUUCAUACGAAUCUUAAUGUAAGAUCAAUGACAUAUGACUUAGAUGUGCAAUACUUAUGGCACAUCUAGAUGUGCUUUAGCAAAACUGAUUUUGUUACUAGAAGGUACUUGUGUUCCCAUUGAAUGAACUCAAUGCUUAUUUUUUGUUCACAAGCUCCAAUAUGGAAACAAAGUAUGUUGUGGGGAGUGGGAUGUACUACAAACUGAUCUAAAAUAAAGAAAGAGCAAUCUUUGGGUGACAAUUAGAUUCAUGAUGCAGACUCAAUGCAGAUUGUCUUUCCUUUCCAUUUGUUUCUUAUUCUUGUCAUCUGACGUUAUAUGCUUUUGUCUUGAAUUACAUGGAAGGUCAAGAUGACCUCACACAUACAUGUUUCUUUUGUUAUGUUUAUUAAUGUAUGGAUGCCUACUGACCCUAAAUAUAAUUGGUUAAAAUGUUUCCCAAUGAAGUUUCUAUGCUAUAUAAGAAAGUUGGUCUGAAAUAUUUGAAGUCAUAUUCUAUUUUACAGGUUACUCGUAUAGUUUCAUAGCUGAUUCAGUUGCAUUAGUUCAGAACAAGUGUUUGUAUCUAAAGCAAAGAUAGCAUAUUUGUCUAUAUUUAGAUAACUGUAUAUAAGUGUCAUUAAGGAUUAUAAGCAAGAUAAGUGCGCCCGGGACCGCCUCAAGAGACGCGCCCUGGGCGCAUCCCAACCACUAGUAUUUACUAUAUGUGCCUGAGUCGGGAAACAUUUGCUGGCCACUGGUCAGAUAUUUUUCUACCACAUGUAACAAUGGACACGAUGAUUGAACCCUCUUAGACGCACCUUGCAGUAGGAUAUAUGGUUGAUGAGAACCGUCGGGAUGUCAUUUUCAAACUCCCAGAGUUUUUUUGGUGACAUGGGUACAGGCCCUCUGUAUGUCUUCAGGGAUCUGUCCCGCAAGGUAGUGAUCAAGAUAGUUGUGGAGAUCCUAGGAUGCUUUGGCUGGUUAUGUACACGAUAGCGUUGAUUCCUUUUGUGAAAUACGCAUCUAUAGGGCAGAAAGCUAAUGAUAAUGGUGAAGGUAAAAUUUGCAAAGCUGCAUCCGUAAGAGAUAGACACAUAGCCAAAACUGCUUCCGUAAAUAAUGGUUUUAGUUCCAAAGUAUGCAAAUGAUUUUGCUACAUUGGAACUACAACACACUGCUGACAUGCUAUGUUUCUAUCUCUUGGGAGAGGCAGUGAAAUAUAUUAGUUGACUACUCUGUUAAUUUACAAGUAUGUUGCUUGAGGUAACCAUGGCACUAUUCAGACUGAAAUUCAUUUUAUUGCAGAUCACAGGACGAUAUUUCGGGAGUCUAAUGAUCACGGUGCAUUUGGUACAGCAGAGGACCAUAUUUUUGACUGAUUUCAUAUGUUCUACAAAAUUAUAUAUUGGUUAUUCCUUGUUAUUGCGAAUUUAUCUUAUACUAUGUUAGAGACGAUGCUUAUAACUUUAUCAACAAAUAAACCCUUGCGCAGACUGUUCUUCAGGUUCAGUGUUCAAAUUGUUGAAAAGUAAGGUCUAGAUCUGCAGAGUUUGGGUGUUUCUCCUCAUGUGUACAUUCCAUAAAAUGCAUUCGCAUAAAGCAUAGCUCAUAUAAUUCAUCCUGUACAGGAAAGGGAAAGUUGGAUGAUUUAGAGUUGUGUGAAAAUUAUUUCUCUGUUUCACCAUUUUGUUUCUUUCUUAACUCUCACUUGCUCUAUUUUCCAAUCGUAUACUUUUCUUUUGUAUUAUUGUACUAAACGCAGGUUGUUUGUCUAUCACAGAUAUUGAUGGCUUGGGAAAUCAUAUGGCGAUAGGGUCUGAUGAUGUCUGAUGAAGGAAUAGUCACAAGCAGAGAUGGCCUAAAGGCUCUUGGAUACAACUGUUCUUUUAGUAUGCCAUUGACGGACAUAAGUCGAUGUUUUCAGUCAGGAUGAGCUUUGAUUCUAAAUGAUAUUAGAUAUGCACUCAUGUACUUUCUACACGAUUUUUCUUUGGUUUAUUCAGUCUCUUGGGGUGCUCAUAGAAGUAGGGUUGCGUAUGUUCAUACGCUUGUUGUGAGGGUCUUCGUCUGUAUAAGUGUUUCUAAAUAGACUUAAGUUUAUUAAAUUCCAUAUAGGUAAUCCUUAUUAUUGAAUAAUAGUAUUAUUUGAAAGGGUUCAUUUUCUACUCUUUCUGGAAGGAUAUACCAACGACAAGGACUAAGUGGCGCGGCAAAGCGUGCGUGCCCUUCUAGUCUAUGUUACUAAGCUCCCUAGGAUUGAAGGUCUCUUAUUCAGUUAAGGACUUUGAUUUUGAUUAGAUGUCCAAUUUUGACUUGGUCUUAGGCAUGGCCUUCUCUCGAUGGAUGGGUCCCCAUGGUGUAAAUCGAUGAUGGUGCGGGCCUUUUGUGUGUGUGUGUGUGCGCGCGCGCCUAUAUUUUUACUGCAUCUUCGACAUUUACAGCUGGUAGGGAAUCAAAAUAUGUCAAGCUUCGACUUAUUCGUUUUGACCGCACUGCCUCCAUCGACCUCUUCAUAAGGAUCAUGUUCCCGUGCUCCUCGACGCAAGUACGAACUAUAGCACACGUGCACUGACGCAACAUGCUAUUGCUCUACUUUUAUUGAUUGGAGUCUUCAGGUCGAUCGCUCCACUUAAAAACAAUCAGAACACCAUUAGCUAAACAAAUGAAAAACGAGCAACUACCAGAGACUCUCGGAGGCAAAUGGCGCGACAAAGCGCACAUAAUCUUCUAGUUAUCCUACUAUUUAUAAAGAAAAUUAUUUAUAUCUACGAUGCCAACCAUAUACAAUAUGAAAAUACGUUAUCUGAUGAUAUGUACUCUUUCCGUCCGGAAAUACUUGUCCUUGAAAUGGUUGUAUCUAGACUUAUUUUAGUUAUAAAUAUAUCCAUUUACAACCAUUUUGAAGACAAGUAUUUUCGGACGGAGGGAGUAUUUGGUAUUCUACAUGUAGAUGUUUUCCUCUAUAAAUUGAUCAAAAUUUAUAAAGUUUAACUUUAAAAAAAAUCAGUAGACAUUAUAUUAUGGAAUCGGAGAUUGUAUUAUACUGGCAUGAACAGACACGAUGACAAUACAUGCAGUCAGAACAUGCACAUGAACACAAGUCACAAACCAAUGACCUAGCAAAGCGCUCGUAGCUCGAUCUCAACUUGAGCCGAGGAGGCUCUUGAACCACUGCACCGAGCUCUUGGGGUAUCUCUUGAGCUUAUCGUUGUAGUCCACGAAGUAGAGCCCGAACCUGGACGUGUACCCGGCCGCCCACUCCCAGUUGUCCAGCAGAGACCACGCGAAGUACCCACGCACGUCGCACCCGUCCUCCCUGCGUUAAAUCACCACAUCAUUUAGGGGCUCAUACGGAAGCAGUACGUACACACUUUGCUGCAAAAUGCAGCCAUGGCAAUGCGAAAACUAGAGUAGCACAGAUUCAGAGAUGAUAGUGGUAGCACGGUGCAAUACUUGAUGGAAGCGGCCAGAUUGGCGAGGUAGUCGUUGUGGUACUUGAUCCUCUUGGUGUCCUGGAGGGCGUCCUUGCGUAAAAUGAAGGGGCUGUUGCUGUCAUCCAUUCCUGCAUCAGCAUCAGGAAUCACACACUGUCAAGCUCUGAAAGAGCUCUAUUUAGGAGGAUAAUUCUCCAGGCCCGUACCGUUUUCGGUGAUGUACACCGGCGGGCGGUUGUACCUGUCCUUGACAUACUCCAUCACGCUCCUCAUCCCUCUGGGCACGAUGUACAGCCAUAUCGAAUUCGCCUGCGUAACAGCAUUACACUUCAGUUCAAUCACAUGCAGUUUUACGUUUUACUAGCAGCACUGUCAUCUUGGAAAGAAUGUGUGGGCCCCAAACUCACCCUAUCCCCAAUCGGUUUGCCGUUCUUGAAGGCUGCAAAUUGCAAAAAGCAUACUGUAUCAACUAUAAAUGCAGCAAGUACUAAGAUAAGAAGCUAACUCGUGAAACUGUAUUACAGAUCAGAUAUAUGACCGGUAUGUUUAGUGUACUGCUAGGAGUAGCAUAGCACGUCUGAGGAAGAGUGAAGCAUGAAGGACCGUCAUUGACUCGAAUGUCGAGAGAAAAUAAAUAAUCCCACCUGGGGUCCCGCUAGUAUUACAUGAUUAGUUAACAAAAGUCCAAGCCAGGUCUAAGGUGGUCGACCAAAGUCUAAGCUAGUCAACAAGGUUCAAGGCAGUCAACAGAAGUCUACAAAUUUGUCGUGAUUAACAAGUCAAAGGAGAAGGCAAAUAAAUGACAAAAGUCAAUAAUGAAGGCAAGAAGAAAAGGGCAAAGUCUAAAUGAGAACCAAUUAGCCAAAGGUCCAUUCAUGCAUGCUGAAGGGGAGUGGUGCACUGUGAACUAUAUAGACAGUGUCGAUGUUUCGUAACUGGUGAUGACGUAUUUGUUCGGCGGGGCAUGCGAGUGGUGGAUUGAGAUAGUAAGGCAUGAGACAUGGAGUUUACCUAGUUUCGGGCCUUUCGUGAGGAGGUAAGACCCUACUUGUGCCUUUGGUGAUUAUAUUGCUCGAGUGUUCGCCGACGAUAGGGAGAACCACCGAAGAGAUCUGCUUCUUGGGUUACAAGAUCUCGGCUCGUCGGUGAAGAGUAGGAAGAUGGUGGUCGGUGAGAAUCCUAGCUCUAGGAUGAUCUAGAAUGUGUUGGAUCCUCCCGAGAUGGUCCCUAGCUCGCCUUAUAUACCAGAUGAGCUAGGGUUACAUGGCUCAGGCCGGUGUGUCGGUGGGCUCGCGCCUCAUGGUCCUACCGGACCUUGUUGCUGCUGGACGUCCUCUGGCUGCUGUGCCCUCCAAGUAGAUUUUUUUUUUGAGAAUCUCACAAAGCUUUAUUACUGAAUCAUAAUGUUCAUAGGUACAAAAAGAAGAUCGCCGGGUUGUCCUAGCCAAGUGUGUCGGCCAAACCCUAAAGAUAACGCAUGCUUUGCGAGAUUAUGGGCCUCCGUAUUGGAGGCCCUAUACUCAUGAGUAAACGAACAUGAAAUAAAGGUAGUUGCUCUAGUCUUGAUUUCUUCGACAAUGGCUCCAAAUUCUGCUGAGCUUCCCUGUCUGAUUGCAUCUACCACCACCUUGCAAUCGGAGGCAACAAGUAAAUGGUUGAUAUAGAGAUCUUCUGAAAGUGCUAAUGCCUCCCGAACAGCUAGUGCUUCUAGCACUUGGGGGUUGUGCAGUCCUCUGAAAACGAGAGCUGACGCUCCCAUGAACAAACCUCUCUCAUCCCUGCAAACCACACCAACUGCGCCAAACGUACCUGGGCGUGACACGGCCGCGUCCACAUUGAGUUUGUAGUAAUCUGUUGGUGGUGGAAUCCACGUACGGGGUCGUGGUACUGCUAUCCCAUGCGCUUCCUCCUCCUUCUUCUUCAAAAACUCUAUGUCUGAUAAGUAAGCUUUGAUGAAGUUGUCAGUGGCAAACGGAGUCUGGUAUAUAUCCUCAUGUAUAGCUUUCCGUCUUGCACUCCAAAUCGCCCAUAAAGUAACAAUCAUCAACUGAAAUUAAGUAGAUGCUCCAGGGGUUGACUCUUGGGCCGAGUGGCUGAUUCGGUGCCACGUAUCCGCGUGAGGCAAGUGCCUCAUCUAUCACUUCAUCGACGUUCCAUAUCCUCCACAAUAGUUCUCACUUUAAUUGGUCCUCACUUCUCAUGGAUUUGUGGAUCUAAACUUACCAUACAACCCCUCCUACCUACCACCAUCAUGGAUAGUCUAUGGCAUUUGUCGAGGCACCCUCCUCUGUAUAAGGUCUCCAAUGCACAUGCUACUCAUUCACUCUUACUUGAAUAAACUCAAGAGGAGAGCACUAUUUCUCUCGGGCCUUAGUAUCAAGUUGCAUUAGAGCCGAGUUUGAGGAAUUGCGUCAGGACUCAGAUCAACCUCAGCUAGGACUUCAAGAGAGACUUCCAAGGAGUUGUGUAUGUCUCGGAGGCUGCGAUCAUCCAGCCCCACCCGAGGCCUUUUUAACAUAGGACUAGGCCGGGCUUAGAGGCGACUAAACCUAUUCAAAUAACGUUGUUGUCACCGUACGUCUAUAAGGUUGUUGCACGCACCCUCGCUAACUUAUCUGCGAUCACUCUACUAAGGUUAUGGCUCUUGUUCACAGGCGUAAGAUAUCUGCUUUAAGCUCUCUUUGGUCUUUGAUGCCGCCAGGUUCUGUUACCUUUCUCUCUGAUGCUGCAAUUUUCUUCGAGCUGGGCAAGUGCGAUGCUAGUGUGUGGGAUUGAAUCAUGUUUGCCGGUCGUGGUGGCCUGCAGCGACUCCAUUGCUGGCAUUCUUGCACCUAAGCUAGCAGAAGCUCUUGUUCUCCGCUGCGAUGUUUACUUGGCACGCAAGGGGAAUAUUAACUCGUCCGUCUUCGCCUCGGACUACCUUUCCUUGGUGUAACACCUAUCGAUGGUUGGUGGGAUCUGUGGUGGCUGAAAUCAAGUUUGUAGCGUCUGGCUUCACUUUUGUGGUCGGCAGAAUAGUGUACCUUCUCAUGUUUUAGCUAAAUCAUUUUUGAGCCCUAGUGGUCUUUCUAUUUUUUUUAUUCUACUCCAGAUUGCAUCUCGGAGACGCUUUGUAAUAUUGUUGCUUAAUCAAUAAAGUGUCGGCCUUCUCUUUAAAAAAAGAUACUCCUAGUCGAAAGUUGUUUCAGUAACAAUGAUAAAAAAAAUAUCUUUUCUAACACAAAUUAGAAAAAAACUGCUGAGAUUCGGAUAGCUGACUCACGUAGGCUGAUGCUCCCGGUGUCUGCCAAGGUGUUGUUGAGAAGCAGGGCGAUGAUGUUCGUGUCGUUCUGCUUGGUGUAAUAGGUGGUGUAGUGGUUGAUACCCACGAAGUCGAGUGUCCCCUUAACGAGCGCGGACUCCUCCGUUGUGAACCUCGGCAGCCUCUCCCCUACUCGCUUCCUCAUGGUGGUCGGGUAGUCGCCGAAGAAGAAGGGGUCCGCGAACCACCCCAACUGGAACUCCUGCGCCCUCUUGGCCGCCUCCACAUCAACAGCGGCAUCUGACAUCGGCUCAUACCACACCACGUCGAACGCCAUCCCGAGCUGCCCAUUCUGCGCCGCCUGCAUCAAGCUCGACAUAGACAUGGAUAUAAUUGUCAGGAUAUGGCAUGGAUAUAGCUAAAGUGAGGUGUGUGGGUGUGCGAUCACCUUGUACUUCCUCCUGUACAAUUGGGAGACGGCGGCGUGGGCCAGGAUGAAGUUGUGGGCGACGAUGUAGGGCUCGGUGCCGGAGUUGCCGGAUUUGCAGUAGAGGUGGAGCAGCAGGGAGCAGCGACCAGGAGCCUGGAUCCCGACAUCGUAGCCAUUGACGGCCACAUUGUGCGGCUCGUUCACCGUGAUCCAAUGCUUCACCCUGUCGCCGAACGCCGCGAAGCAUGUCUCGGCGUAAGCCACGAAGUCGUUGCUGCAUUUUGAGAUAUUUUUUUUUAUCAUUUAGACCAUGCACUAUAAGCCAUGAAUGAAUCUGCAUUAAGUUGCAAAAAUUGCAGGUUAAGGGUGGUGUGUGCUCACACUAUCUGCCUGUCCAGCCACCCGUUGUACUUGUCCUCUAGGGCCUGGGGGAGGUCCCAGUGGAACAGGGUCACAUAUGGUUGAAUUCCUGUAAGAUUAAGAAUUUCACAUGUCAGUGUUGAUUCGAGGACCUUAUCAACCCAGAUUUUAGCUUUUCUUUAUAUAUGGUUCCUCCCAAAUUCAUUUAAUGAAGACCAACUCUACAAGGGGUUUUCACUUUUCACCAAAACGCAGUCACCACCUAGGCAAACAAAAGGAAACCAGCACCUCACAAAUUCAUGUUGUGAUUCCAUUCACCUUUAGCAAGAAGGGCAUUGAUCAGUUUGUUGUAAUGGUCGAUGCCAGCCUGAUUAACCUGACCAACACCAUCUACAAAAAAGCCAAAACAUUUGCAUAUAUCAGAAUAGAAAGCAACCAAACUGACAUCAUGGACAAAUCUGCUAGUGACCUACGUACUUGGGAGGAUUCUUGCCCACGCGAUGGAGAACCGAUAUGCGUCCAUUCCCAUGUCCGCCAUGAGCUGUAUGUCCUCCUGAAAAAGAACAACCAUCCCAUAGUGUCACAAAGAAUUGUGCAAGACCUGCUACGUAUAUUAAGUACCCGUAGUUCAGUAGAGCAUACUGCUUACCUCGAAACGAUGGUAUUGAUCUACUGUGAUGUCGGCAUUGCUGAAGUCGCUGAUCUUUCCUGCACAUAGAGAAAGAGGAGAUUUUCAAAUAUAAAAAAACAUAGGAGGAAACAGGCAACACCUCUGUGUUAUGGUUGUGUCUUGUGGAACCAGUCAGAGUUUCUAAGGGCUAAGGGCAUCUCCAAAGCGGACCUUCAAACCAUCUGCAUCCGUUCGGACUGACCUGUCCGGACAUAGUUUGUCAUCCAAUGCGGCACUGUGUCGGUUUGGACGUUCGUUUUCCCGUAAACCGGAAGCAAACUAGAAAAGCUUUGCAGAAGUCCGAACAUCCACAUGACGAGCCAAAAGCCACCACGUGUCCUUCUCCCCUCUCCAUAUACAUAGGAUUUGGCUAAAUGUGAAUGAUUAGCGGCAUGUAUUCGUCGGAAGGCGAUUAUUACCAUGCUUCCUUUGACGGAAGGCGAGCUGCAUGCUUGUUCUUUUCCUAAUGUUCAUUAGUUGCAUAAUCUAGCAAUAAUACUAAUGGAUGCAUGUUUUGAUGGAAGGUGCGUGUAUGUUUUGGUGGAAGCUACUGAUCCUCAUUAGCAUACUAUUAUGGCUACUUAGAGCAUCUCCAACAGCCUUUGUAUAUUUGGCUAGGAUUGCUAAAAAAUGGAAAUAUAGCAACUUGGCCCAAAAAUGUUGCUCCAACAAUCUUGUAUAAGUGGUCCCCUCACAAAUUGUUUUGAAAAGCUUGCUAUAUUUGCACCCACACUUGGUAUAUAUUUGCAAACUGGAGAGGCACUUGCUAUAAUUUUUAGCAGCCCAGUUUUUGUGGUCCCCUACAUCCCUUUGUUCCAUUGACAAGUGGACCCCACCGCCCCUAGAUUCCCGCUGCCCUGGGCAUGGCACAUGUCCCCACGUGUCAUUGAGAGGCUUGCUAAAUUUUAUAGCAAUGUUGUUGGAGCAAAAAACUAUUGGGGUUGCUAAAUCUUCUCUUUCCUCUUGCUAUACCUAGUUUUUAGCAAGUCGGAAUAGCAAUGCCGUUAGAGAUGCUCUUAGUGUUUGGUGGAAGCAAACUAGUCUAGCUACUGUGUGUUGGAAUUUGGUCUAUAUUGGACCAGCCCAAUAAUCAUUUUCAGAAUUCCUAAUAAAACAUAGAGUCCACUCAACCAAUUCAUGUAAGGCAAGAGGUGGGACCAAAGUUUAGUCCCAUACUGCUCACCUAGUAGGAGUUGGACCUCCUUAUAAGGGAGAUUGUUUCCCCACAUGUAUGAGUUUGAGGAUAAGAGAGACAUUCACGUGUGCUCCUCCUCCGCCACCCGCCUCGCCGCGUCGUGGGUUGUUGGAAUGAGUUGAGUCGUUGUCUAAAAUUUUAGAACGCAUGCUUUUUCCUGUGCCUAUAAAAGAGAGGUCACUCCUCUCCAGAGAGACACAUCAGGAGCGCUCUGCGUGCCUGCUGACCUCUUCAUCACGAACGCCGAAGAUGGGCAACAACGUCAGCGCCAACCCCAAUGCUACUGCCACAGCUCAGUACGUGUUCGUGUUCUUUCUGUUUGAGAUCCUACCAUAGUUUCUUGUUCUAGCUUCUGUUCUAGAUAUGUUCCGUUCAUACUCACUAUUUCAUGUGCUAUUUGCAUACUGUCUAUCAGAGUGCAUGGCUUUUCUUAUCUCUGCUAUAAUAGUCAUGUUUUAUCUACUAUUUCUAUUAAUAAAAUCGCAUGGUAAAUCGCUCAUAUUUCCAAAAUUGUGUUUGGCGGAAGCUAGCUAUAUGUUGUAUGUUUUUUUGCGGGGUUAGCUAUAUGUAGCAUAUUGUUAGUGCUGAAAAUCCUUGUCAGCGAGAGUAGUUCAGCUAGAAGAAUAGUUAGUUGUGUACUAGUUAGCCUUAUAUGCAUUUUCAUUUAGAAGAAUGCUACUUUUUAAAGUUAUAUAGUAUUGGAUGACUGCUACCAUAUCACUAUCAGUGGACUACUGGUCUCCACUGGUCAGCGAAUGGAUGCGAUGUUUGGUUUGAGGGUUAGCUUUGGAGAUGCCCUAAGUCUCAGCAUGCUUUGACUAAUUUUAGGUCUCUUUUGGUUCAUAGGAUAGGAAUAUCAUAUGAAUAGGAAAAUCAUAAGAAGUGAGAUGCCCUACAUCUUAAUUCCUAUAGGAAAAGAGAUGUCUCCCCGCCCGGAGCCUCUCACUUUAAUCUGGGCAAUUAAACUUCCCCUGAACAUUCAAAUCUUCCUGUGGCAAUGGAUCCGGGGCCAGGUACCUAUAGGGGAAGAGGUACUCAAGAGGAAUGGCCCAAGAGAUUGGAUUUUCCCCCUGUGUGGGACGGCGGAGGACUCGAAUCACAUCUUCUUCACUUCCGUGUCCGCACAAUUCCUUUGGAGUUGCUUCCGAGAGGUGGUUGGCAGACGCUGGUGCAACAACAAUUUCCCAGACCUCUUCAAGGAAAUCCAGGCCUCUCCACAGCGUUCCCACCACAUUAGGUGGCUGGGUAUGGGUGCUCGCAUGGAUGCUAUGGAUAGUCCACAAUAAGCUUGUGAUCCAGCGUGCGCCUCUUCGACGAGCUACUGACGCGGUUUUCAAAAUGUGUGGCUAUUUGCAGCUCUAGCGGUAGCCGCCCACAGGACCGAGACGCCAUCAACAUCUUCAUUGCAGAUCUUCGUGCGAUGACCCUUCGCUUGGCGCCUUCGCUUCCUCCACCACCACCGGAGCCGGAUUAGCCACUUGUUGUCAUUGUGGCGUGGCAAAGCCGCUUGGGGAGCCUUCCUUGGCCUGGGCUACCUUUUUCGUUUUAUUUAGGACUUGUUGAGUUGUGCCCUCAGUAAAACCCUCUUGUACUUUGUUUGUGUGGUUCUUGUGUGUAUGUGGUGUGAAUCUUUAUGUUGGAUCUUUAUGGCUCUGGUGGUUUUAUUUAUAUAUAAAGCGCGUGAAAGCCUUUUUUGGUAAAGACAUGUUAUUUGAUGCAUAGGAUAUAAUUUUUUUCCAUUUAGUUUAGGCUAAUACUUUUCCUUUUGAAAUAUAAAGGAUUGAUUCCUAUCAUACAUAGGAAUAUGAAUCCAUUACUACAAACCAAAGGGCUUCAAAGAAAAAAUUUCUACAAAAUUCUUAUCCUAUAGAAUUCCUCCAAACCAAAGAUGGUUGCCCAAUACAUUAAGUUCAGUUAAUUCUUACCCACUAUCAGCUUAUCAAAUACAUGAGCAAACUAGACCAAAACCCUAUAUGACUAGAUCAGCACAGCCUUGUUGAUGCCUUCCCAAUACUUGGAGUCCAUAUCUAUGGUGGAAGUUGUCCCACCAACCUGCUAGUGCAUUUUUGGACCGGCGGAUGCAACUAUUGAAUGAUCUCCCUUCAAGAUGCUGAUUGGAAAACCACUUCAUGUUCGUGGUGAACACUAUUUUCCAGUACUUAUUGGUCAGGCUCAAUAGCGAUGAACUUGCCUCGUUAGGCUUCCCUGGUUAAUAUAUUUCAACACGUUCAAAGUGAUUCCCAUCUUUGUAACAUUGAUGUAAUCUACCAAUGUUUGUGCUUCACAGCAUAGCCAUCACUUCUAGAGAUGCCGAAUCAGUUACACCUUCAGUUACUCCCACAGUGAGGAAGCAAGAUAAUUACCAUUAUCGCUAUUGCCCUGGUUUCUCCAUUCACUGAGUUCUUUGCUACCGUGACCUCAGCAUUUAUCUUGACGAUCCUCAAUAGCAGUGGUACCUAUUUCACUGAUGUUUGAAUUGUUCCUUAUCAUGCUUUCAACAACUUAUGUUCAGUGCAUGAGAGGUCAGAAAUGUAGCUCUGAACAUAUCCAAUGAUCGAGCCUGUACUUUGAUAUAUGCUCACAUGUAGUACCUUCCACCGUGCUUCCUCGAUCACGCACAAUGUGAUCAGAUGAAGUCGUCUAGGUUAAUACUUUCACUCAAAUGAAAGAGCCAUUCUUUUGAGUAGAGAGAGAUUGACACACACAUAUGCUAUGUCAAUGAUUCAUCUUCUAAUUCCCAAACACAACCAGAGUCGAGCAUACAAGAGAGCAUGUCUUCAGGAACCUCAUGUUGAGUUGCAUAUGCCGCAAACUUCAGUCCAGACAAUGUUUCUAUGCUCGAACAAUGCCGUUGCAGGUACAAAAUUUUAAGACAGACGCCACGCAAAAACCUAGAUUUUAGAAGGUACAUUUACCUUCCAUAGCUCCAGGAAUCUUCGGUUUUGCCACUGCUCGACCUCGAUGUUCCUUCUAACCAAUCCUCUUUCUUUCUUCAUUCUGAUUAAUAUUUUGUAUGCGGAUCAUACAAUGAAAAUUCUCAUUAUCUCAGGGUACAAUGCCCAAAAGUCCCCAUGUGCCCUAUUCUUAGCGAUAUUAACCUGAUAACAUCUCCAUCUAAGGAAAGAAAUUGCUCGGUUGAACCUAUGUUUUUACUUGUUCACAUAUUAUGUGUAAGAUCUUGAAGCGUAAUUUAUUUUUCUUUUGCAUAAUACAAUCAUCACAGCUAAAACCAUUUGAGAUGUGAGAGAAUUACAUGUGUAUUAAAUUCAUAUUACCGUAUGUGCUUCAAAUUAGUACUGCUCAAUUGUAAACUAGAGAGUUUUCAUUAUCUUCAUGUUUUGUAUAUAUACUAGUGGUGACUUUAUGUUGUAGAACAACUUGAAUGUUGCAAUGACGAGCUUCCUUAAAUUCUCUAGGUCUUCAUGAGCAAUAAAUUUGGGUGCAUCACUGCCUAGUUCAUUAGGAGAGCUUUCAAUAGACUUAAUUAUAGCACUAUGUGCAUCCAGCUGUAUGACACUCCUACUCCUCGCAUUAACAUUGAUUAUAAGACCUUAGCAAUGUUGAAUGACCAAGGUGCAUUGAUGCAAGAGUAUCUUUAUUUUUGACUUGUUCCAACACCCAUUAUUAUUCUCUUUUUCAUGUAAGUGUUAAGGUCUAGACUUGCGCUUAGGUAAUGCAUGAGAAUGCUGCAUGAAUAAUGCGGAAAGAUUAUGCAGUAAUUUUACUUGGCCAACCUUGGGUUGGGUUAUGACCAGAUUGCCAUUAAAGCAUAAAGACGUCGAACAAUGAUCAAAGCUUAAUUCUCAACAUAUUAUAUUGACAUUCUUUCUAAUACAUCCUAGUUAAAAGGAUUGAUAGACUACUCACAUAAAAAAGGAACUCUUUCUUUUCCAAGAGCCAUCGUAUAAGGUACCUCAAAGUUUAGCAUGCUUGGCUUGAAGAAAUUUGAAUAUGGAGUUGGCGGCACAAAUGAACAGCCGCCGAAGAACCUCGAGAAGAAUGAAGAGCAUUGUUGAUAGGGGUCACCCUGCAUGAGGCCUUUCCGGUUGUACAGUGGUGCGCCAACAAUUUCAUGUGUUGUGUGCUUAUUUGUACCAUGUAUUGUAUCCUCAUUUGUACUCGUAACUUAUACAUAUUCAUUCUAUCAAUGCACCGAUACGCAAGCUUUACGUAUUCGCGAAAAAAGUUUCCAUCUAGCUAUCUCAUGUUAGUGAUGUGUGUACUAGUGUGGUGGUGCCACUGGUUCUUAUUUACGACUAUCUUGCCCUUAUAAUUGUUGAGAAUGUACGUGACUACAGGGCAUUGAGGGGACGUACUAGCUUUGGGUUAUGAAUGUUCUUUUUUACAUGGUAUGUGUCUUAUUUAUUUAUAGAAUAAAGAUCAAGUUACAAGGCACUUAUACACCAAUCUUACAUGACUGAAAUGAUAGCACAAUCAUAUGCAAAAUAGCAGCGGCUGUCCCUCUCCUUUGGCACCACCGCGGUCACCAAAGGGAAAGAAGAAAGAUCACCUCUUCACCCAAACUCGGUGCGGCUCCAUCGCUGAUUUGCAGCUUUAUAGACCUUCAAAGUAGUUUGCCAGAAGCAAAACCAUUGCCACUGAAAAAAUCAGACCGGAGAAACAUGUCCCCGGACACGCUAGCGAACUCCAGAUCCGACACCCCUGCACGACGGCGAUGUCGGAGGAGGAAACUACAACUGUCAGCCUCCAACCACAAACCCAGCAGAAGAUGCACCAUCCUCCAGUUGUCACUUGCGUAGGCAACCGUCUGCGCGUAUUUCUAGAUGACAAAACCUCCCUGCUUCACCAUGACAUUGGAGACAACACCGCAGCAACGGGGACAGAGCAGAAAGAGAGAUACACCUGACAGAGUCGCCGCCGCCGCCUUGCCGACACCAUCCAUGAACCCUAACACCGCUGAUAUGAACGAUGGGCAAACACACGAUGCCAUCAACUCUGAACACCAUCAAGAAGGGCACCGUCGGUGUGGGAGUGGAACCGAGGCAGAUUUAUUCGUCCGGACGCCGCUCCCAUCACCCCAGCAGCGCACCACGAUCUACAAAUUCAAACCCUAACUACACAGCGGCGGAACGGGGACGCCCCUCCCUCCUGCCGUCGGAGCAGCAGAUGGAGGGAGAGGGGACCAGCCCCCUGGAUGGUUGAGAUGAGUGGAAGAAGAUCUUCUCCCUAGUCGUGUGGCUCGUCGCAUAGGCUAGGGUAGGUGUUGGAGUAUAAGCAAAUUGUCCAUCUUUUCUCAUCAGCUUAAGCUUUUUGAGUUGAACUAGUUGGUGCAUGCAACUCAAUAUGGUAUUAGAGCCAGAGAUCUCGAGUUCGAAUCCUGGCGGGCGCGUUAAUUAAAAUAAUUACAGUCCACUCUAAUAUCCACAUAUGCGGCCUGAGGAGCCUGCACGUGAGAGGAAGUGUUGGAGUAUAAGUGCAUGCAACUCAAUAGUGGGAAAACACGAUUACGCAUGUGACCGAUCAACAAUAGCAUCAGCAGGGAAGGUCAACUACGUACAUACUCGUGGCUGAGAGUCGGGCCAGAUUAGUGACUUGCCAAAAGGAUUGUAAACAUUACUUAAUCAAUGGAACUAUCCUUUCCGUGAAAAAAAAGUAUCCCUGGUAGUAAAUACAAGAGAAUUGUAUAUAAGUAUAUUGUAUGUAUGUGUAUAUAUUUUGUAUACGUACCGAAGGUGUGCGCGAAGGUGUCCCAGAUGGUCUGCCCUCUCCCGUCCGCCUUCACCGCCCCCUCAUACUGCACAAGACAAUGCCGUAUUAUUUCACGUUCCAGCGGAAGAUUUUAUACGAUCGAGCCAUGUCAAGUGCGCAGUCUUAUUAGGUGGAGUGGAGCUCGUUUCUGAAUCAAAUGUAUACUAUUGAUCUCACCAUGACAUGGUUGGCACUCGGCAGCACUAUUUUAUUUUAUCUUGCAUGAUUGCCACUCGGUACCAUGUGCGUCCACAGUCCACACAAGCCAAACGCACAACACGAGCACAGCGGCAUGUGCCCACGGUGGUCGUCUCCUCCGCCCCUGAAGCGGCGGGAUCGAUCGGGGUCGAACCGAGCAUGUGGACGCACGCGCCGACUACGCCAGCUCCAUCCUACGCUACGCGGCAGCGGCAUGUUUUCGGUAGGUUUGCCGAUCGAGGUCAACCCGCUAGCCACCGCGGCGCCGGCCAGGAGAAUGGCAUCCGAGGGAUCGGGACAGGUCGCGGUAGAGCAUGCAUGCCUGCUCCUUGACUAUGAAGAUCGAUCCGUUCUACUGUAGCAGUACAUUGUAGUCUUGGCAUGGCGACGAAUGGUGAUGAGUCGUUUAGUCGGUGACACAAAAUUUGACUAGGGCUACUCAGUAAUGGCAGUAACAACGCAUGCAUGAUCAUUUCCACACAUGUAUGGAUGCAUCCUACGGAGUCCAGACAAUCAAUGGCGCCGUCAGAUUUGCCGGAAACUAGCUAGGGAGGGGCGGCGGAUCGGAGCAGGGAAUGGAGGAACCAACAGCAACAAACCUGGUACGCGGAGGAUGCUGUGCCGAAGACGAACCCGUCGGGGAAGCUCCCCCUCGUGAGCACUCCGCCGCUCUGCGCGACGCAUCCCCGCGGCGGCGCGGCGAGGAGGAGAAGCAGAGCCAGCGACGCCGCCGCCGCGAAGCUUUCGCGGCCGCACUGCCGCGGCAUCUUUAUCCCCAUACCGCGAGCGAGAGAGAAAAGGCGGGAGGGAGGCGCACGACGUGGGGCCUGGGCUCCGGAGAGCGCCGAUAGAGAAAGAGACGAAGCUAUAGAGUGUGCGCGUGCCUAUGUGUGUUUGCCGGCGUGUUGGCGGGGAAGUAUUUAUAAUGGCGAGGGAAAUUGAGGCAUGCACGCCUUCCACUGAAAAUCCAUCAGACCGUACUGGACUGGGCGAUCGCUUUAAGCGAAUGAAGGCUAAAGCGACGUUAGAGCAACUCCAACGGGCCGACCUAAAUGGACGGCGAUUUCGUUUACCUUUUGUCCGUUUGGAUCGGCUGCCCACCCGGCGUCCGCCCUGUUUUUGAUAUGGGUCAGCAGAGCGUCCAACGCGUCGACUCAUAUGUGCAGGCAUAGUCGGUUGACUGUCCAAUUUUACAUUGAUUUGCAUUCAAACAUAUUGUUGAAUGAAAAUGUUAAAACAAGUCAAAUAGUCUGGCCGCCCAAAUAAAUAAUAUAGUUUUACAAGCUAAAUACAAAUAAAAAUGUUUCACAUAGUUUUUAAACGAAUAAAAGAAGAUACAAUCUAUUGGUUGCUAAUAACAUGAGUCCAUAUAUGCUCAACCAAAUCAUUUUGCAGUUGCAUGUGAGUUUCCCAAUCACGCAUGUCUUCAUCAACUGAGUGAACUGCUCAAAUGUUGCCGCUACUCCAUGCUCAGGCACAACAUUCUCACCCUGAAACUGAAAGCCUUGAUCGUACAGACGUUCCGGGCGCUCGUCUUCUACGAUCAUAUUGUGUAUGAUCACACAAGCAGUCAUCACCUCCCAUAGUUUCUGCGUACUUCAAGUAUUAGCAGGAUACCAAACGAUGCCCCAUCGAGAUUGUAAAACACCAAAAGCACGCUCGACAUCCUUCCUAGCACUCUCUUGCUCUUGGGCAAAUCUUUUCCUUUUCUCUCCGACAGGGUUGGGUAUUGUCUUGACAAUAGUGGUCCACUGAGGAUAGAUACCGUCAUCCAAAUAGUACCCUUUGUCGUAGUUGUGACCGUUGACAGUAAAGUUCACCGGUGGGCUGUUGCCUUCGGCAAGCCUAGCAAACACCGGCGAGCGCUGAAGCACGUUGAUACCAUUGUGUGAUCCAGCCAUGCCAAAGAAAGAGUGACAGAUUCAGAGAUCUUGAGACGCCACGACCUCUAGUAUGACAGUGCAAGCCCUGACAUGUCCCUUAUACUGCCCUUAUCAAGCAGAAGGGCAGUUCUUCCACUCCCAGUGCAUGCAGUCUAUGCUGCCAAGCAUCCCCGGGAAGCCCCUGCUGGCAUUCAUCGCCAGCAAAUGGGCUGUAUCUUCAGCUGUCGGCUCUCUCAAGUACCCAGGGCCAAACACAGCAAUCACAGCCUUGCAGAACUUAUACAGGUACUCUAGGCAUGUAGACUCGCUCAUACGAACCUACUCGUCAAUGAGAUAACCGGGCACUCCGUAUGCAAGCAUUCGGAUGACGGCAAUGCAUUUCUGAUAAGAGGAGAAACCAAUCUUGCCGACGGCAUCCUCUUUGCACUCGAAGUAGUCAUCAUAGCCAACCACUCCCUCUCUAAUACGGUUGAAAACAUGCCUACUCAUACGAAACCGGCGGCGAAAUUUGUGAUGUUUGAACAACGGGUUUGUUGUAUUAAAGUAGUCCUUCCAGAGAAGGAAAUGCCCGCUCUCUCGGUUGCGAUUCAACACCGAAAGGUGGCCCAGAAUGGAGCCAUGAAACGACGGCCGCUGGCUGUUGAGGUGGUGAUGGACCAACACGACAGCCAAUAUCUCCUCCUCAUUGUCGGAUGACGAAUCGUCGGAGUUGCAAAGUAAAUUAUGGAAAAAGAACUCGUCGGCGGAGUCCAUCUCGUACCUUGGCAAACUGUCGAACAGCUUGCGGGCGUCGAUGAAGGAGACGGCCGGCGAGGGAGUCGCGGCGCCCACAGACCAGCUAGCUGCCCUGCUGGCGUCCGGCGAGUGUGACAGCAUGCGACGAGCAUGCCGGUCGGAUGUGGCAGGGGCGGCGAGGCGGCUUCUUGGUCACGGGCGGCUGUGCGGUGGGGGAAGCGGCAGUGAGAAGCAGUUUGCUCCCCGGCGNNNNNNNNNNNNNNNNNNNNNNNNNNNNNNNNNNNNNNNNNNNNNNNNNNNNNNNNNNNNNNNNNNNNNNNNNNNNNNNNNNNNNNNNNNNNNNNNNNNNNNNNNNNNNNNNNNNNNNNNNNNNNNNNNNNNNNNNNNNNNNNNNNNNNNNNNNNNNNNNNNNNNNNNNNNNNNNNNNNNNNNNNNNNNNNNNNNNNNNNNNNNNNNNNNNNNNNGCUGGGCGGAUGUGGAGGCGGCGGCAGCUGGAAGAGUCGCCGGAAAAAAUGGACGGCGGCGUUGGCGACGGAGGAGGCGGGAGGGUUGCUUUGUUGGUCGCAGGGUGAGACGGGAGGCCAUUGUGCCUAAGACCAGCGGGCCCGAGGAUAGGAGUAGGCGAGCGCGCACGCGUCCGUCGCGUGUUCACGCCGACGCAAAUCAGACUAAAAAAUGGGCCGGGAAUGGAUCGCCCACGGACGAAAAACGGACGCGCAUCCGUUUGGGUCGGCGCGUUGGGCCGUCUUUUCUGUCCGCGCUGACCCAAACAGACGGCCGCGAACGAAAUGGGUCGCCCCAUUGGAGUUGCUCUUACAACAUCUCCAGUAGCGAAAAUGCUCAAUGCAAGAAAUGAUGAAAAAUUCAAAUUUUCAAUUUUCAAUUUAAUUUUUUGAUUAUUUUACACAUAUACGUAGAGAAAACAAAUGCACAGAUGUAAAUUUUAAGGACGAAAUAGUUAAAAUAAGUGCUAAAAAACACAAAUCUGAAGCUUUUUAGAAGAUGCACUGUUCAUCCUCAAACCCAUAAAUUUGUCUUUUCUGCACAGAUCACAUUUCAAGGUUUUUUACACACACAUAUCACACGCAUCAUUGUUUACUUGUAUAAUUUUUUCAGAUUUUUUGAAACUGAAAAUUUUGAAUUUUGAAUUUUUCAAAACUUUGGGCCUCCAUGGAGGCCGAGCUCCAAAACACCCCACUCCUCCAGCAGUUCCUUUCUUCCCGAUAAUUAUUUGCCAUUAGGGGAGUUGAGCAAAAAGAAAAAGAAAUGUUAUUAGCCACCGUUCCUCGGAAGGAAAUCCCUAGCGAACUCGAUCUGAUGGUGACAGUUUUCGGCUGGAAAAAUCACUAAAAUAAACGAAAUGACAUGCUUUCUGUUAGCCAAAAUCCAUCCCAGAACACAAAAACUGCCAACCACAUCGUUCACAAAUGCCAUCCUGGCCAGCGAACGGUCACUCGCUAUUGCAUUCCAAAAAGAAUGUGUUUCUGCAGCUUAUCUUUUCCAAUAUUUUUCAACCAUCCCAACUCACCCUUUAUACUGUGUGAGGAACUACUGAUCCCACGAGCCUCACUGUAUUUGCUAAUUGGCACAAUCUCAAAUUCAGGAUACAAGUUUCAGAGAUAUGGGAAGAAGAAAGGGGAAAGGAGGCCAGAUAUAAUUGGUCAACACCAACGCCAGAUGCCUUGAUGCCUUGAUCUAAACAGAUACCCCUACACACACACCACAUGCCAAAUGUCUUGAGUAAGUACAAUAAACUUAUGUAAGCGGGCUAUAAAAAUUAAAAUAUUAUAUUUCUACUGACAUGGAGGGGAUAGAAGAGAAGAGAGAAGAUAAGCCGGCUACUACAGUAUAAGGCUGGUCAUAGUGGGGAGUAACUUAUGCUAGUGUCAUACAUAUGACACUAGUCUAAGUUAUCACUUUCAUAGUGCAAAGUAACAUAGUACUAGUGUCAUAGAUGGCUUUAUUUAUUAGCUUGUAGACUCAUAUUGUCUUGAAAAGCGCUAUGUUACAAUAACAUAUUAUGUUACCACUUCCCAUUAACUCUUUGCAACAUAAGCAAAAUUUUCUUGAAGUACUCUAUGUUACUAGCUAAGUUACUCCCACUAUGACUAGCCUAAGAGCCAGCUGCAACACGUGCUCCUACGCGCUAUGUGAGAGUGAGGCGUGGGCCAUGCGUUAAUAAAGUAACACAUAUUUACAUCUAACUACUGUACAUAUCGGCUAUAAAUUUGACUAUAGAUGACAUGGCAACAUCAUAUAGCCAUCAACUGGCUAUACUAUUAACCAUACUCGAAGUAGUUGUUGUCCUUCCAUUCACCCAGUCACUGUCGAUGAAGUGUUGAUUGGGCUUGCUUGUACGGCGCAUAGGGGUGGAUGGGUCGUGUAGGCCCGUGGCCUUCGGCCCAGCAGGUGAAGUAGUACUGGGGUUGCUAACACCCCCCUUCAUACGAACCAACCUAUGGUUGGAUGGUUAGAGGGACAGUGGUAUCCCCAGCCCACCAGAGUUCAAGUCCUGGUGCUUGCAAUAUUUCUGAAUUUAUUUCAGAGUUCUCGGCGAUGUGCUUUCAGUGGGAGGAGACGUUCCCGUCGAUGACGAGGCGCCUACGGUGACUUCGUAAAUAUCAAGAUGAUAUGUUGACUCAGUCUCUCGAAGGUGCUCAUAGGGGUAGGGUGUGCGUGUGUGCGUCCAUAGGAGUGAGCGUAUGCGCGUAUGUAUGAGUGCUUGCGUCUGUAGUGUGUUCACAAAAAAACCCACCCCCUCUUUUCCUUGAAACACCCCUUGACCCCAAGCGGGUGAUCUUGGAAAUCUGGUGUGCAAGUCUGGUAGAUCCUCCCAACUUGGUGAAGUCGCUAGACUUUCACACUGUCGUGAAGUUGUCAUGGCAGAUGUCCUAGCAAAAGGACUUAGUCGUGGAGCCAUCACAACUAGCUUAGUUUAAAGGGGUUAAACGGGGCAAAGGACACAGGGAGUUUAUACUGGUUCGACCCCUUACGGUGAAUGUAAAAGCCUAAUCCAGUUGAGGUGGUAUUACUUGGGUUUCGAUUACCAGGGAACGAAUACGCUUGACCUAGCUUUCGAUCUCUCUUGUUUCUUGCCCUAAACCGCCGCCGGGUCGUCCCUUUAUAUAUACAGGUUGACACCCCGCGGCUCACGGAGUCCCGACUGGCUCAUACACAACGUGUCCGGCUUGAUGACUAACUAUGCCUGCCUUACAAUACAAGUCAUACACAUACGGCGGUUUAUAUCUAUGGGCCAUAAGCCGUCUUUGGGCUUUGGGUCCUUAAUAAGCUUACUAUUUGAACCGCCGUCUUCAACAUCUUCACGGGCCUUGUCUUGAUGAACCGUCAUCGGUAUAACCCGGCCCCUCUUGGACGGGUCAUACCCAAUAGUCAUAUCCCCAACAUUAGGCCCCAGGUUGAUUUGAACUUGUUCAUGUCAAUCUUCAACACUUAGAGAAAACCCUUUUUAUUUACUCUUCGCAAGACCUUGUAACCCGCCAUGACAUCAUCUCAUGGGAUUGUGGUAACCCACCAUGACGUCCCUUGUCAUUAACAUUGCACAAGGCACAAAUCUUAAUAAAUCUUCUUUUUAAUAAACCUUCAAAAAUCGAGGCGUUUGCGCCGUCACAUAUCCAUUGUUUGGUCUCCUCGAUUCCCGCACAUGUCACUUAUCCAUCUGGCCUUAUAAAUAGGGCCAGGGGUCCCUUUCACUUUCCCCCCUUGCAUCUUCAUAUCUUUCUUCUUACUCGCAUCGUCUCAGCGCCCGAGCUCCACCGCUGCCAUUGACCUUCACCACUGCAUCAACCUGAAGCGAUCAGAACUCAUCCGUACUCCUCCGCUGUUCAACAGCUCCGAUAAGUUCUCCUCUUUUCCUUCACGUAGAUCUCAUUAGGGUUAUAGACGAGUUCAUCGGAGUUCAUCUCCAUUCCUUGUUGUAGCUUGAUCUUUUUAAUCUGAACUUGGUACCUCUCCUGCGCGGUAGUAGCUGUAAUAUUCAUUUUCGCUAUCAGGGCAUCUCCUUUUGCAUACAAAAUCCGAUCUGGACAUAUGAACUACUCAAGCACCAUAACUUCGGUCUGAAUAUUUUUUAUUGUCUGAAGUAUCGUAGAUCCAAAAUCAUAAUAUCAAUCUGCGAAACCUAUUUUUCAACACUUAGCAAUUUUCCCUUUCUCUGAUCUGUAUUUUAAUGACUGUGUGGGAAGCUUAACUCAAAAAACCAUAACUCGCCAGGUACCAUUAGUCCCCUCUUAAGCCGCCAGUAGUCCAUGUUUAUAACUUCAAUGAUGUCGUCCGACUUAGACUUAUGCAUGCUUCAUUGUUAUUCACCAAUUUAACUCGCCAACCGUCUUAAUUAUAUAAUCUUAAACCAACAAAUUUUCUUUCCUUUAGGCUUCUUCCCUUACGAUGCCGAAGACAAUUACCUCGUGUAAUUGGGUUCCUUCCAUUGUCACGGAAAACACACUUAAGGAUUUUGUCAAAGUCGGCUUUUUACCAGCAAAAAACAUCCUGCACUGGCACGCUCCCACACCAGGUGAAGAAAGACCUCAGCCACAAGAUGGUGAGGUCAUUAUUUUUACUGAUCACAUGAAUCGGGGCUUCUCACCGCCCGGAUCGAAAAUUUUCCGAGACGUUCUGCACUUCUUUCAACUUCAUCCUCAAGACAUCGGACCCAAUUCCGUGUCAAACAUCUGCAAUUUCCAAGUUUUCUGUGAAGUAUACCUUCAAGAAGAACCCAGCGUUGAACUCUUCAGGGAAUAUUUUUAUUUGAACCGGCAGAAUGAGUUUACGAAUGGACCCAGCUUAGAACUUGGCGGGGUCUCGAUUCAACGGAGAAGAGAUGUUGUCUUCCCUUAUGCUCGCCUGCCAAGUCACCCCAAGGAUUGGAACCAAACAUGGUUCUGUUGUAAAGAUACCUAUUCGCCUGAUGAGAAUCCACUGCCAGGUUAUCGUGCUGAGCGGCUCAACCCCAAGCAUCAUCUUCCCGAGCGGCUUACUACUGCUGAACGGUCAAAGCUUGAACCUACCAUUUCAAAGGUCAAGGCCCUGCUAGGAAAUGGGUUAACCGGUAUUGACCUGGUUUGGUGUUGGGUUUCUUGGAGAAUCAUACCGUUGAGCCACCGUUCCGGCUUAAUGUGUAUUUAUACGGGUGAUGCCAAAGAUGCACUGCGCUACAACUCCGCGCGUUUAACUAAUGACGCAAUCAAUAAGAUGACAAAGACCCUCCUCAAUGAGAACUCGGAAAGCCGCAGCAAAGUGGGACUGAACCCCUUCUACACUCUUAACCCACCACCAACCGUGAGUCUCCAGUUUAUUUAUUUUACCUUAUCAUUCAAAUACUCUAUUAACUCAACCUUGAUGACUUUCACAGGAUGAGUCCGCUUUUUGGGAGAAGGAGUAUGAUCAUGAAGCAGCCAAGAAGGCCAGGGCCAAAACAAAAGCCGUCAAGAAAACCGCCAAGAAGAACAAAAAGAAACUAAGUGCCUCCGAUUUGUUUGAAUUGGACGACAGCACUGAGUCGGAGGUAGCCCUUGACUCCCUUGGCUCCUUUUUCAAUUAUCUUAUUGACACUAAUUAUCAUCAGGAUGACACGGGGGCCAGUCAAGCGGUCGAAGAAGAGGUAACUAUUAUUUCCUCCGACUCAAAGCCUUUGCCAAGACAGAAAAUUCAACGAGUAAUCCGGAAAGUAAGCUUUUCACACCCCUUAGCUUAUUUGGAUCCUCACUUUCUUUUGAAGCAACAACCGCACAAGAACCGGUGUCAGAAUCGGACCAGCGGAGGUGGAGAGUUAUCCUCUGGUUUACCAAAUACUCCAGCUCCGCGAAAACGUCAAAGCGAGGUCCCUCUGAUUAUAAACUCUUUUUACCCUCUGGCGGGUCUUACUCGUCAGCCACUUAAUUCUUCCGAUUCAAAUUAUCAGGGUAUAUCUCACUCCUCUUCCGGCACUCAUCACAGACCCAGCUGCCAGCCUUCAAGACUGCCCCUGGGUAACAAUUUUUGAUUUCUACCACUUUGUAUCCUUAUACUUGUACUAACCUCCCACAACCCUUUGUAGUGGAAAGGCAAAGCCUAGCAAGAAGGCUAAGGUGACCAAACCGGCUGAAGACCCCAAAGUCCAUGAGAUGGAGCUACAAAUUCCAGCUUCUUAAGCCUCCAUACAACAACCAGAAGAACCUGUCCAUAUUCCACCAGAAAUUCCCGACCUCUCCAGUGAUCAUACAAACUUCAAUCCUUUGAACCCUGAAUCAUCAAGCCCACUUAAACCAUCAGAAACACACACUGAGGAUGUCAUGAUCACUAGCACCGACUUUCAAGAGCCGGGAAAACCUACUGUCUUGGCCAAGCACUCCGCUAAAGAGGAGUUUAUUGAAAGGCGGAAAGUGAGAUUUGACAUUGCCAAUUAUUCUCAACUAAGCGUUAGUGAAGUACUCUCUAGUUAUCUCAACCAAGUUCAUACCAGCCGCGAUCUUGAGAUUGACAUGGUGAAACAGAUGCACCAGAAAUAUGAGGUAUGAACUCCGGCUUAAUAAAUUACGCAUAUCCUGGCAACCCCCAAGUCUACUGUGUAUAAUAGAAUAGAAUAUGCUAUAGACUUAGAAUAGCUAUGAGUAUAAAAACAUCUUUGGUAAAAUCCUUCAAAAGCCGGCUUUCACCAUCGGAGUUAAACCAGAUCUUUGACAAUUAACAUUGCAUCCGUAGCCCCCAAGGACCAGUUUAAUCUGCAUGAAUGAACCGAUACUUUUUAGUAUUGUUUAUGAAUCAAGACUUACUUGUGUAGCCCCCAUGAGCCGGCUGUGGUCGUUUUCAAUACAACCGGGUCAUCAUAAAGUAGUAAUGAAAAUGCGAGCAAUAUGCAUUAGCCCCCAAGUGCCAAGUGCUCUUGCUUGUAAAGCGCUUGGGACUUAUUCAUAUUUGUCGUUAUAUGAAGAAUUUUCCUGUAUGCAUUAGCCCCCAAGUGCCAAGUGUUGUUGCUUGCAAAAGGCUUGGGACUUUUAUUCCUAUAACCCGAAUAUGAACAUGAUUGCAAAUCUGUGCAUGUACAAGACGCCACUGCUCAACUGGAAUUGCAAUUGGCUGACGCGAAAGCCCGGCUUGAACAUCAAGAAUCUGAGACCCAGAAGGCCGACUCAAAAUUUAAUUUUAGUCUGACUGAGACAGAAAAACUGAAGACUAGUUUUGACACUGAAAGAAUCGCCUGGGCUGAGGAGAGGACUGCUUUGAUACAACGGGCUGAAAAAGUUGAAACUUCUCUUCAAGAGAUAACCACUGAGCUUACCGGCUUAAAACACCGUGUCUCCCAGAUGAUUUCUGCUAUCUUUGGUAAAUAACAUUACUAGCAUCAUAAUCGAGUCUUUUCUUUCAUGUCAUAAACCACCGCUGAUCAAUCCGCAAUUAUUACACAUGUCCUAGGGGCAGCAAUCUUGGUCAAGACAUGCCGGUGAAGCUUAAAGCCGUAUAUACGGUUGUUGAACAACUAUAUACCGGAACUCAGCGCACUCUGGCCACGAUUUCUCCAACUAAUCAGGCCCCCACUCUGUUGAGUGACAUCUUGAAGAAACUUUCUGUUCUACCUGCUAGGAUUGAAGAGAUAAAGCGGUCAUCUGCAAGAGCCGGUGUUGUGAUGGCCUUGAGCCAGGCUAAGGCAUGGCUACCAGAGCUAGACCCGGCCGAGGUAGCUACUGGAUAUCCAAGUUUGAAAGAAGAUGGCACUCUGUUUGACCAAAAAGACUUUGCUGCCUGUGUGAAGGAAAUACGUCCUCUGACAACUCUGAUUGCUGAUGAAACGAAUCUAUCAAAAUAUCAGCCGGCUUAUGAUACAGAGAAUCAAAAGAUGCCCACACUAGCUUAUAAAGUGAUGGAUCUGAUUCCCCCAAUCCGUAAGCGUACUUUCGCCACUGAAGUUGAUCCGUCCGAACUUAUAGAUGAUGAAGCCGAAUUCCAAGCCUUGCAUGGCAUUGAUUGGUCAUCACCAAACUUCCAGAUGACGGAGGAGGGCGGAGAACCGACGAGGGAUGAUCCAGAAGCUUCAAGUCAUCAAGGUCAAGAAAAUUGAUCCGCUGGGCGGUUCAUAUAUUUGAUCUUCUAGAUAACAUUUAAACAUUUUGGCUCGCUGAGCCAUGUAAUAGUUUAGUUGAACUCUGCUUUGUCAUGCCAUCAUGCACGUUUUGUGUUGCAUAACAUUAUUGAUCCGCCAGUUGAAGAUAUGCCACUUAUGCGUAUGAUGUCAUUAUGUAGGGCAGAUUGUAUUUCUUUGUUCUGCAUAAAAAACAGAUCACAAAAAUUGCCCUGGCGGUACAUAAUGCCCAACAUAAACCCGUUGGUGACUAUAUAAGUCCAUAACCAGGGCUGAUGUAACUAUAACCAUAUAUAACAAAAAUAUCAUACCUGUGAUAUUUGAUCAUACUGCCGGCUCAAUAUACCGGUGCAAUAAGGAGUAAUAUCCCAAAACUUAGAGCAUGUCACUUUCAAGUAUAUAAGAUCAUCAUACACUGGCGACUUAUAGUCCAAAGUCAGGCCGGGUUAAUAAACACUAGGUAGUUUUAUGUAUGAACCAUAAGGCAUCAUAGCCCUCAUUAUCAGUUUUUAAUCAUGUAUUAAUAUGUUCACAGGAAAGGAACCUCAAAAAAUGUUCAAAUAAAAUAGCAAAAAAUCAAGGCUUUCAUAGGCGGCCAGGCCUAAAAAUCAAGUGCUUUCAAGGGCUGCACAGCCACUGAGUUAAACCUUCAUACAAACCUCAUAAGCCGGACCUCACAUAACCAAUCAUCGUUUUAACUUUGACAAGUUCAGGGUCUAUAUAAGAUUGACUUGUUAAAAGUACAGCGGGUCGUUCUAGGAUUACCUGGGCGGAGUGGCAGACUUAAAACGGCAGGAUAACCCGGGUUUUUAGGUGAAUACACCUGGUUUCCAAGCCUGGCUUUUAAGCCUAUUACAAGGGUCAUAAAAACUCUUAUCCGUUGAACAAACAGCCCCCAAGUAACAUUAUAUUCCAGGCGUAUAAGCCAGAUCAACAAGGGUAAUCAUAGCUAUGCUCGAUGGGCAGGAAGGCCCCAAGUGAUAUAUUUCUGAGCUAUGCUCGCCGGGUACCUAUGUUUGAGUUGUGCUAUGCAACAAACUCUCUUUGGUCCCUAUAACUUGGCAUCAAGCCUUUAAGUGAUCACAUAAAGUAAUAAUAAAGACUUAGUUUCUGAGGAAUGAAAUGACAAAAGCCCUGAAUUAUCAGGGAUUCCGACUUUAUUAUAUUGAUUAUAAUAUAUAUAUAUAUAUAUAUAUAUAUAGUUAAAAUAUGUACAUUAGGAGAGCCUGUGGCUCAAGUAUAAUAAGGCCGAAGAUGAGCAAUAUUCCACGGUCGGCGGGUCUCCUCCUCCGACGUGCGUGGGUCCUUGUGGUCUCGAACAUCGAUAAGGUAGUAUGACCCAUUGUUCAGAUUUUUGCUGACCGCAAAGGGCCCUUCCCAAGGUGGGGAUAGCUUGUGCAUAUCAGAUUGAUCCUGGAUAAGCCGGAGCACCAAGUCACCUUCUUGAAAGGUUCUGGUUUUAACCCGGUGGCUGUGAUAACGGCGCAUAUCUUGUUGGUAAAUCGUUGAAUAAGCCGCCGCAAGGUCACGCUCCUCAUCUAACAGGUCAAGUGCAUCCUGAUGUGCUUUUUCAUUAUCAGCUUUAACAUAAGCCACCACCCGGGGUGAGUCGUUAUGGAUGUCACUAGGGAGAACAGCCUCUGCUCCAUAAACCAUGAAGAAAGGUGUUAACCCGUAGAUCUGUUGGGUGUAGUAUUGAUACUCCAUAACACUGAGGGUAACUCCUCGACCCAACAACCCGGCAUCCUCUGCAAAGGAGCCAUACGCCUGGGAUUGAUGCCUCUCAGGAUCUCUUGAUUGGCCCUCUCAGCUUGACCAUUAGAUUAGGGGUGAGCCACUGAUGACACAUCAAGUCGGAUAUGCUCACGUUGACAAAAUUCUUUCAUAGCAUCCUUGGAUAAAUUAGUGCCAUUAUCAGUUAUAAUACUUCGGGGAAAGCUGAAACAGAAAAUCACCUUUUUGAUAAAUUGAACCGCCGUCGCCGCGUCACACUUGCUAACUGGCUCUGCUUCAACCCAUUUUGUAAACUUGUCAACCACCACCAAAAGAUGAGUCUUUUUAUCUUUGGACCUCUUGAAAGGCCCAACCAUAUCAAGCCCCCAGACUGCAAACGGCCAAGCAAUCAGAAUCAUCCUCAAUUCUUGAGUCGGCACAUGAGUUCGUCGUGAAAACUUCUGACAACCAUCGCAUUUACUGACUAGAUCCUCAGCAUCAGCAUGAGCCGUCAAACAAUAAAACCCAUGACGGAAAGCUUUGGCUACGAGAGACUUAGAACCGGCAUGAAGACCACAAUCUCCUUCAUGAAUCUUUCGUAAAAUCUCAUAGCCUUGUUGAUGACCCACAAGUAUAGGGGAUCUAUCGUAGCCUUUUCGAUAAGUAAGAGUGUCGAACCCAACAAGGAGCAGAAGGAAAUGAUAAGCGGGUUUCAGCAAGGUAUUCUCUGCAAGCACUGAAAUUAUCGGUAACAAAUAGUUUUGUGAUAAGGUAAUUUGUAACAAGUAGCAAGUAAUAAAAGUAAAUAAGGUGCAGCAAGAUGGCCCAAUCCUUUUUGUAGCAAAGGACAAGCCUGGACAAACUCUUAUAUGAAGGAAAGCGCUCCCGAGGACACAUGGGGAUUAUCGUCAAGCUAGUUUUCAUCACGUUCAUAUGAUUCACAUUUGGUACUUUGAUAAUUUGAUAUGUGGGUGGACCAGUGCUUGGGUGUUGUCCUUACUUGGACAAGAAUCCCACUUAUGAUUAACCCCUAUUGCAAGCAUCCACAACUACAAUAGAAGUAUUAAGGUAAACCUAACCAUAGCAUGAAACAUAUGGAUCCAAAUAAGCCCCUUACGAAGCAACACAUAAACUAGGGUUUAAGCUUAUGUCACUCUAGCAACCCAUCAUCUAAUUAUUACUCCCCAAUGCCUCCCUCUAGGCCUAAACAAUUGUGAAGUGUCAUGUAGUCGACGUUCACAUGACACCACUAGAGGGAUGACAUCAUACAUCUCAUCAAAAUAUCGAACGAAUACCAAAUUCACAUGACUACUAAUAGCAAGACUUCUCCCAUGUCCCCAGGAACAAACGUAACUACUCACAAAGCAUAUUCAUGUUCAUAAUCAGAGGGGUAUUAAUAUGCAUAAUGGAUCUCAACAUAUGAUCUUCCACCAAGUAAACCAACUAGCAUCAACUACAAGGAGUGAUCAACAAUACUAGCAACCCACAGGUACCAAUCUGAGGUUUGGAUCACUACAAAAAAAAGACACAUCCGUGACAUUUUGGGCCGAACGAAAUUUUUUCUGUCAUACAUAUGACACUUCUAUGAUGAUAAUUGUGACAAAACCUGGUAUCAUCGUUGAUGUGGUGGGCUCCUACUUCUAUGACAAAAAAUCAUGACAGAAAAUGGGCUUUUCGUCCUGGGCGGUCCGGAGACGCAGCUGCAUGACAUUCUUUGGGCCGUCCAUGACGGAAAAAACCGUGGUAGAAGUGAGGGCGAGGAAAAUUUCGGGGAGUUCUCGGUUACGGUGGGAGGUCGGGGGCCGAGCGAUGCGCGUUUCUCUCGUACACGUACGCGCGUGUGUACGAGGCAUUGGCUCUAACUGAACCCGAGCGAGGCGUUGGGCUCUAACUGAAUCCGAGCGAUUGCACUGUAGGUUAUGCGUUACUGAUCCCGAGCGAUCGAUCGAUGGCUAUUAACUGAACCCGAUUGAGCGAUUCCUUCGCUACUGCUGCUAACUGAAGCNNNNNNNNNNNNNNNNNNNNNNNNNNNNNNNNNNNNNNNNNNNNNNNNNNNNNNNNNNNNNNNNNNNNNNNNNNNNNNNNNNNNNNNNNNNNNNNNNNNNNNNNNNNNNNNNNNNNNNNNNNNNNNNNNNNNNNNNNNNNNNNNNNNNNNNNNNNNNNNNNNNNNNNNNNNNNNNNNNNNNNNNNNNNNNNNNNNNNNNNNNNNNNNNNNNNNNNNNNNNNNNNNNNNNNNNNNNNNNNNNNNNNNNNNGCUGGAUGAACAGUAGACGGUGGAGGGGUGCCCAUGGAGGGGUGGUUGAACAGGACCCUGUGGUGUGGAGGGCUGGAUGAACAGUAGAUGGUGGAGGGGUGGUUGAACAGUAGCCGGUGGAAUAGCGUGUGGUGGAGGCUGGAUGAACAUGAGCCCGUGGUGGCUGGAUGAACAGGAGCUCGUGGAGGCUGGAGGAGGUCGAUGGUGGAGAUAAACAGUAUCCUGUGGAGUCCCGUUUUGCGGUACACCACACCCCUCCUGAUGAACAGGACCCCCGUUUCGACCGUAGCGCUCCAACACAAGUCCGUUUCCUCCGUUUUGUGGUACGCCACACCCCUCCCGAUCAACAGGACCCCCAUUUCGACCGUAGGAGGUCCGUUUUCUCUGUUUUGCGGUAUGCCACACCCCUCCCGAUGAACAAGAUCCCGUUUCGAACGUGGCCGGUCGAACACAAGGCCGUUUCCUCCGUUUUGCUGUACGCCAGGCCUCGUUUCCAUCGCCUGUUCCGUCCAAGCCCUCCCGAUGAACACGACCACGCAUUCCGUUUCGACCCAGUUGGUUGGCUCCCACGCGUUCCAUUGCCUCCCCAUGAACACGACGCAUUCCGUUGCCUCCCCAUAAACACGACGACGACGUUGUUUCUCCGUUCCAACCCAGCCAUGUACACGAGCCCUGGCCGUACGUAUGCGCGAGUAGGCGUUCGAGACCCCGCCCGUAUGAACACAUACAUGGCUGUAUUUUCUUUCUUGCACCUUGGCCGCUGUACGUACGUGUACAUGCUAUGUGCGCGCCUCUACUACGACACGUGCGCGCCUCUACUACGACACGUGCACGCCUCAACAUCGACCAGUAUGUAUGUACACGUUCGCGACCAGAAUGACAAUGCUACGUACGCUUCGACCAGGUGGGUCCCGACUGUCAGUCACUUCCUUGCCUGCGAAGAUGUAGCUGGUGGGUCCUAGCAGUCAGGGGGUGAAUCGUUUACUUUUUGCCUGGACGCACUUCCUUGCAUGCGAAGAUGUAGCUGGUGGGGUCUAGUAGUCAGGGGGAAACAUUUUUUCGCGAAAUACAGUGGCCCGUCCGGUGGGUCCCAGCUGUCAGGUGGAGGAAUCAUUAUUUUGCGCGUAAUAAGGAGGCACUUCCUUGCUGUGGCCGUGGACCCAGCUGUCAGCCUCUCCACGUACAGUCCACGUCCGAUGGAAGUCGUUCCUUGACCAUGUUGACCACGCCACGCCGAGAGCACCAUGGCGGUGGACGACGGUGAGGCCUAGGAAGGGGACGACACGGAGGCAGGGAAGACUCGGCAGUUGUUUCCCACGCGGAGGGGAGUACGACUGUACGAGGGUUUACUGGUUCGUCUACCGUCGCCGGAGAAUAACAGCAGGUGUGGGUGAGUAGAGGGAUGGCUAGGCCAGCGAUGGGAGUAAGGUUGGGCAGUGAGGCCUGCGGGGCAGCACAGUCGGCCGCGAGGAGGAGGGAGCAGGCAGUCCCGCCGACGCUUGUUUGAGCGGCUGGAGCAGGAAGAGAAGAGAUUGAAGAAGCACGACGGCCGUUGGAUGGACAUCCAACAGUCAGUGCUUAUGCGUCAACCUUUUUUUAGGAAAGCCUCAAAUCUGUGGAAAACAGCAUACAACCCUUCUGCCAUUAUUUCUAAUAAUUUACAACCCAUUUGCUAAUUCUUAAGGUUUUUUUGGAGCCCAUAUUCUUUUUGUUAGCAUUACAACCCAUAUUGUGGGAACGGUUAAAAAGUUAUACGAAAUUUUGCAUAUUUCGGUGCGGUCCGAACUGUUUUUAAUCCCGAAAUUUCGACUCACAUUCAAACUGAUUUAAAAAUAAAUGUAUAUGAAUAUAAAAUCCAACAAAUUCUCCACACAUAAAAAUUAAUGUAAUUUAAAAUCUUGAAAUGAAAACAAAGAUAUUUGAAACUAAUUGCCGGUUUGAUGUGUUUUAAAAAUGUACAACCCAUUUCUCAUUACUGAUGGGCCAUUUUCUCGGCCAGCCGAAUAAAAGCUCUCCUUGUCUUGAAAAAUUUGCAGCCCAACAAGCCUAACAAAGCGACUUACUUGGCAAAUCACAAAAAAACUGGGAUGUGGCCGUGGACCCAGCUGUCAGCCUCUCCAUGUACAGUACUCUUCCGAUGGAAGUUGUUCCUUGACCAUGUUGACCACGCCGCGCUGAGAGCACCACGGCGGUGGACGAUGGCGAGGCCUAGGAAGGGGACGACGCGGUAGUGGAAGCCCGCACGGAGAGGACUAUGAGGGUUCACUGCUUCGGCUACGGUGUGAGGCUACCGUCGCCGCAGGCCUGGCCAGCGGUGGGAAUAGUAGGGGGCGGUGAGGCCUCUGCGGCAGCACAGCCGGUCACGGGAGGCAGGAGCAUGCGGCACGACCGGCGCUGCUUUGGGCGGCUGGAGCAAGAAGACCAGAGGUUGAAGAAGCACUACGGCCGUUGGAUGAACAUCAUACGGUCACUAGAGCUAGAAUCGUUCAUAUUGACUAAGUUGACAAAGCCCUUCGUCCCCGUCAACUUAGUAGGCCCACAAGUCAGCCUCCCAGCAAGGUGGGUCCCAGCUAGCCGGGGGAGUAUUCAUUUUUUUGUGCGUAAUAAGGAGGCAAUUCCGGUGGGUCCGAGCUGACAGCGGGGAGAACGUUUUUUCACGAAAUACGGUGGCCCGUCCGGUGGGUCCUAGAGGUCAGGGGGAAACGAUUUUUUUCGCAAAAUACUGGUGGCCCGUCCGGUGGGUCCUUGCUGUUAGGUGGAGAAAUCAUUAUUUUCCGUGUAAUAAGGAAGCACUUCCUUGCUGCCGCCGUGGACUCAGAUGUCAGCCUCUCCACGUACAGUCCACGUCCGAUGGAAGUCGUUCCUUGACCAUGUUGACCACGCCGCGCCGAGAGCACCAGGGCGGUGGACGAUGGCGAGGCCUAGGAAGGGGAUGACGCAGAGCCGAUGAAGACGCGGCAGUGGAUGCCCACGCGGAGAGGAGUAUGAGGGUUCACUCGUUCGGCUGUGGUGUGAGGCUACCGUUGCCGCAGGGCCUGGCCAGCGGUGGGAAUAGUAGGGGGCGGUGAGGCCUCCGCGGCAGCACAGCCGGCCACGGGAGGCAGGAGCAGGUGGCACGACCGGUGCUGCUUUGGGCGGCUGGAGCAAGAAGACCAGAGGUUGAAGAAGCACUACGGCCGUUGGAUGGACAUCGUACAGUCACAACAGCUAGAAUCGUUUAUAUUGACUAAGUUGACAAAGCCCUUGGUACGUCAACUUAGUAGGCCCACAGGUCAGCUUCCGAAACGGCGCGCCCCAGAUGUCAGGGGUAGGAAUCAUUUUUUGGGCAGGUGAAGUUAGAAUAUCCGAGAUUGAAGAAGAAGCACGACAUCCGUUGGAUGGACAUCCAACGACCACUGCUGCUAGAACCGUGUGUUGACUAUAAGUUCACAAAGCCUUGCAUACGCGUUAACUCUAUUUUUU